rnacentral:lncRNA from 1 species
UAAGCACUUGGUUUUAAUAGAUCAAGCUUUGAAGGAUCUAGGCAUGAAUUUUCAUUAUAGAGAAAUAACUUCUUCAAUUAGAUGAACCAAUAAAAAUUGAGUACAAUAAGCACUUGCUUUUUUGAUAAUUUAUUUUACUUUUUUGGAGCGGGUUCAUGUCACAAGCUCUUCCUGUUGUCCUGUUGCUAAUAUCGACGAUCACGUCACAAUUUGAAUGGAGGUUCCUCUCUUUUUUUUUUUUUUCCUUUUUUUUUUUUUUUUGGUAACCAUUUGUUAUAUUUUAUUGGUAGUUGUGUUGUUUUGUUCUUAUUUGUGCCAAACUCUCUUAAACUUUUAGUUGAACAUUAUUUUUGGUUUAUUAAUGCUUCAAUUUUCUAGUUAGGUUACUCAAUUUAUUAUUUAGCUUUAAACUUAGUUGCUAGAUAUUGUUGUUAAUUGCUAGAAUGAUUUGAUGAAUUACUUAAAUAUUAGUUGUGAAAAUUUGUUGAAUAAGCUUUUUAAUUGGUCACAAUAAUAUGACAGAAUUUCAAUUUUUCAAAGUUAGUCACUUUGUUAGCUCCCGUUACUAAAUUUAACAUCUCAAUCUAGUGAUGUCAAUGGAUCGAGCCGGCUUAACCUCACGAGCUCGUGGCUCGUUGAAGCUUGACUCGUUGAUUUUGGGCAAGCUCGGCUCUGCCCACGAGUUCGUCGCUCGUCCGAGCUCGUGAGUGACGAACUCGUGGGCUGAGCCGAGCUUUGGCUUGCGAGCUCGCCAUCUUUUUUUUUUUUUUAUAAAGAAAAACACAAAUAAUGUAAUGAAAAUACUUUUAAAAACAAUAAAAAGUGUUAAAAAAAUGCAAAUAAUUUAAUGAAGACACUUUUUUCUUUUUUAUUUCUAUCAUAUUGUAAUAUUUUUUAUAAAGUAUAAAAUAUUUAUAUAAUGAAGACGAAUUGUUUUUUGAAAUACAUUUACAAAAAAUACAUUUUUUUCGAUUUCUUUUUAAAGUAAAUAAAAUGUAAACCCUCCUCUUUUAUCCGGGCUUGGGAUCGGCUACAUCAAUUUUAAGUAGGUGGAGUUAAAAAUUGUACACAAACAACUUGUUGUAACGUGUACAAUUUUUAAAAGAAAUUAAUUUUAACGAUUAAAAAAUAAGAAAAUUUUGAUUAAUAUAAUUAAAUCAAAUAUCACUUACUUGACGACAUACAAUUUCAGCGUAUUUAUCUUAGAGUCGAAAAUGAGCGUUAUGUCAAUUUUUCAUGCACAUUAACACUUUCAAAACAUCUUUUUUUAGUCGGCUCUUGACAUCAAUCAAAACCCUUUUAUUUACACUAAAAGUAGACUCCGAAACAACAAUACUAACCGGAGGUGUCAGUAGAUAUUUCGCAAUUCUAGAAACAAUUAGCCAACGUCUUUCAUAUUUUCGCCAGAAUUCAAUUACUUCUUCUAAACUUUUUUUAAUUGUUCUGUCUGAUGGUAUAUUAUGAUUGAAGUAAUCAAUUAAUUCAACAGGUAUCACAUUUUAAGUUGCGACCAAUGUUUGAUGAGAUGCAAAUGUAGACGAGAUGACAUUAGAUGAACACAUUGCAGUUGCAUCAUAUCUAAAUGUAUUAAUGCCUUGAAAUAAAUUCAUUAUUUCGGCAUCAUCUUCUUCAAUUUUAGCCGAAAUAGUAGAUGCAGAGGAUACCCAACUAACAUUUGCACACAUUCUUUCCGCAUAUAAAUCUCAUAUUUCACAUAAUGUUUGCUCUAAAUUUUUAUAGGUGAUAGGUAUAUUAAGUAUUAAGGCUUUAUUGAUUUGAUUAAUUACGUAUGUAGUUCCCCAAAUAUUAUAUCGGAUGUCCAUUGCGCAUGCUAAAGAAAAUAAUAUAAGCAAUUCUUCCCAAUAUUUUCUAAACUUUAAUUUUAUAACAAUUAUAAUUUCACUAAAAGCAUGACAAUUCUUAUAUUUAUGGAAUGUUCUUGCAAUUAUAUAAAGGCGUUCAAACACCAUACAGCUUGUGGAUAAUAAAUGCCGGAUAAAAUUUUUGUGGUCUCAUAAAAAAACGUAAAAAAUCGUUUAACUUUCAAAGCUAAAAUCCAAUCUAAUUCAUUCAACGUACCAUCAUCAUCACUUCUAACGUGUCUAUUAUUAUAAAAAUCAGUUAUUAAAUGUUUGAAACAUUUACAUGACUUUAAUAGCAAGUAAGUAUAGCUCCAUCUAUGACCUACAUCGCUAACAAAUAUUUUAGCAAUCGUCAUCCCUAGUUCGGCACAAAAACCUUCAAAUGCUUGUUUUCUACUAGGAGAUAUCGUAAUAUAUACUAAUGCUUUCAUAACCUUUAAAGUUCAUCCUUUAUAUGUUUUAAGUUAUCUUGCACAAUUAAAUUUAAAAUAUGACAUACACAACGAAUAUGAAACAAAUACCCACCAAAAUCAGAUUGUAGUGUCCUACACAAUUUAUCGACGACUACCUUAUUAACACUAGCAUUAUCAAAAUCAAAAGAUCGAAUUUUAGUCUCGCAAUUAUAUUCUCUAACAAUAUUGAUAAUAGCAUUAUAUAUAUUACUAGUAUUGUGAGGAAACUCAAUAAUUCUAAAAACAAUAUUUUUUUUAUGUAUGCACCAAAAUGUGUCUAUAGUGUGCGGUUGCAGCUAUAUAUGCUCUUUUAUUAACCCCUUCCAUAUAUUAGAAAUUAAAGAUAUAGCACUCCCAUAUUGUUAUAAAUCCAUAAUGAAUCGUUGUUUUGAAUUAUUGAAAUAUUUUAUUGUAUUGGCACGAAAAGUAUUUCGACUUACCCCAACGUACUUUGGUUGCAAAUAUUCUUUCAUGAAUGAGACGAAGUGUUGGUUGUUUGCAAUAGUCAGAAGCAACUCAGUGGCGGCAACAAAUUUCACAAUUUCAGUCCGAGUAUUGUCCUCCGAAUACACCCAUGUGGAUAGGGGUGAAGUCGUAGAACCGGUGCCUGGACUGCUAAAUUGCAAUUGUGUUUGACCAGUUUGAAGAAGUCUAUGUCUGGCCGCACAUGCUUUGUAGUGGCAGUUGAGAUGGGUGGUACUAAUUCCUUUUUGCCAUGCCAAUCUUUUUUGGUAGUAUUUAUAUACUGCCUUAGAUUCUGCAAGGCCAUCGACGACUUUUUUCGUUGAAAUUAACUUAAAGUGAUCCCAAUAUUUUGCUUGUUUUUUGCCCUUUCGCUUUUUCCUUGCAUCUAGAAUGUUUUAUUUGACAUCUGCGUCCUUAUGUUCCGCUACGGGAACAUUAAUAUCACUCAAAUCAAUUGGAUUGUGGUUUUCAUGACCGUAAAUAUGAACAUCUUCAGGUAUGGGUACGUUAUUUAGACCGACAAAUUCAUUUGGAAAUUGACUUUGCGGCGUUCUAGGCGAUUUGCCAUGUGGACCACAUCCCGUAUCGAAUAAGCUCUCGACAAAUGAGCGUUGAUCCAUUUAUUUGAUUGUUUAUGAUAAAAUUCAAAUAUAAUAACUAGGAAAAUAUAAAUGUAGUGAGAAUUGAGAAUUGGAUGACUUGAAAUUGUAACUGAAUAAACUGUAAAAAAUGAAUCGAUAUUGUAUAUUUUGCAGCACAAAAGAGUAAAAACUUGAUAAUUGAUAUAAUAAAAGAGAGUUAAGAAAUGAGAAGUAGUGAUUGAGGAGAUAACUGAUAUGAAAAAAGGGGGGGAGGGUUAAGGGGUAUUUAUAAUAGAAGCAAAAAAAAAUUUUAAAAAAUAUUAGUGACCAAACGGUCACUAAAAAAGUGACCAAAACGGUCUCUUGUUUUGGUCACUAAAGUCACAAGCCACGAGCGGCUCGCCUUUGAGGCGAGCACCUCCCGACGAGGUCGGCUCGGCUCGCGCUCGAGCUCUUGAUUUUACGAGCCCAAGCCGCUCAUGAACCCUAUUUCGACGAGCCGAUACCUUUUGACAUCCCUAUCUCAAUCCUACAUGGAUGUCUUAAAAAGAAUAAUAUUACUUGUAUAUAAUAGUUUACAUAAAUGUGAGGUCAUAAAAUUGAGGGGGUAAUUUUAUAUUUUUUUUUAUUUGGUUGAAAAAAUUUUGAUCAAACCAUAUUUUAUCACAUUAUGUAUAUGUAAACCAUUAUGUACAUGUAGUGCAACGGUUGAAAAUAUAUCCUUGACUACUAUGAAUGGGAAGAUGACGUCAUAAGAAAGGAGGAAUACAACAUUCAAGCAUUCAAAACCAUGUGUUGGAAGGGAAAGUAAAGACAAAGGAAAUAUUGUUGCUACGAGCACUGAGAAUUCUGGUGUAGUGAAAUCGGUAACAGGUAUCAUAAAUGCCUCUAAAAGAAGGUUGAAGUUAAUCAUUUUACGGAAGAGCAAGACAAGAAGAAAAUUUGCAAAUCUUUGAAGAGGAAUCUGAUGGAGCAAUUGAUGAGAAAAGUUACAAGCCUGAUGGAAGCGGAACAAUAUUUUCAGGACUUUAUAUUUGUCAACAGGAAAGAAAUGUUGCUUGCUGAUUGAAAAUAUAAUGUUGAAACACAUGAUGGGGAAAAGUUAAAACUUGUGUGCUUAUCCUAAUCGUAAGGUUUUUGGUUUGAGAAAGAGGGGACAAUGAACUGAACAUUUUGAACCAGGUUCUGUAUUGGAAAGUAUAAAGAUGAGCUUCAAUUUAUGCUCUUCCUAUGGAUGUCCGCCUCUUCUAGGUAGACAAUAUGAUUGCAAUGUGCCUUCAGCUUGAAGCUACCAAAUAGAUUGUUGAUCGUCAUUUUUUUUUGUCGUGGGUUGACAGAAUAGUGAUUUCACAGCAAUAUCUACAACUUCNAACUUCUACUAUUGAAAGCAUUGAUAUUCUAGAUUUGAGGAGCAUUACGGCCAAUGGCAGAUCUAAGCGAUGGCUAGCUAGGGUGGCCGCCUUAGCUGUAUUGGUUGGAACCGUCGAAGAAUUUUUUUUUGUUAACAAUAGAUUAAAUUUUUAUAUUAUAUUACUUGUAACUCAUUUCAUUUUAAAACUUCUCUAGCAACUCAGUUGGUUAGAGCUUGCAUGUGCAUAUUUAAAGUCUUGGGUUUGAAUCACUUGCCAAUGAAUUUGUUUUGUUUUAUUUUUAUUCUAUAAUUUUUAUCAAAACUCAAUAAGGAGGGGGAUAAAAGGGAUUUGAACAUGUGACCAUUUGGAAGGGUUGUUCUAAACUUAAUCAUUACGGCAUUUCUUGAGUUGUGUCACUAAAUUUAACAAAAUAAUAUUUGUUAAGUUUUAAUGCAAAAACAAUUGCAAAGAUUUGAAUUUGCGCUCUUACUUGAAUUUAUACAAAACUUGGCACCAAUGUCAUUCGAUGAGUUAUUUUUAUAAUAGAACUAUAUAUGUUCAAUUUAAGCAAAGUAAUUGUUUUAUUUAAACUUUAGGCCUUGUUCAAUUCCCAUUUUUUUCUCUUCUUUUUAUUUACAUAUUUUUCAAUAAAAUAAUAUUAUACGCAAAUUCAAAAUAUUUCUUUAUUUUUAGCCAGCUUUUUCCAUCAAAUCAUUAUUUCAAAAUGCAUUUUUUUGCAAAAAAGAGGUAUAAAUUAACUAUUAAUAUUUUAUUACGACCGACGUAAAUGGUCAACAACUGCCCGUGCUGACUCAAACUUCUGAAUUCGUCCCUAAUUAUGGCAAGGUGUGAAACCUAUAGAUAUAGUAUUUGGUUCAUUUCAACGAAGAAUCACAUCCCGAAGAUGCAUGGAUGUUGGUUCAAGAGCUCAAGAAGAUUUCCGAAGCAUUCUGAAAAGAGUUGUCUUUGGGCAUUAAGAUUUCUUCUCAACUAGAGAAGAAUGAUACACGUUCAUGAUUAGGUGUGAAAUAAAUCAAUGAGUUUUGUGUAAGUUCCAAGAAUAUUACGUUUUGAAUUUGUCUUGGAAGUAUGCUCUAAAUAUCUAAAAUGAUAUAAUAUUCUGAAAAAUGUUUAUUCUUCAAUAUGUAAAUCGUGAGUCACGUCUCUAUCUUUAUUUGAGGGGUAAAUCAGCUGAAAUGGUCCAGAUUUGAGGAAGGAAAAAAUUACUUUUCCAGUAUCCUUGUUUGGAGUUCUCUCUCUUUUAAUUAAUCAAGUGUGUUGAGUCAUCUUGAGUGACUUCCGUGAUUAGCGACAGUUUCAUCACCCAGACAGAGUGACAUCUUGGGCUCUUCUUUGUUGUUCAAAUAUUCUCAAAUUUUUCUCUUUCAACUGAUGCUAUUGGAAAUUGCCUUAGUCUCCGUACUUGUAUAUGCCCAAGUGUUUAAUUGCAGUGCCUUUAAAAAAGAAUAAUAUUAUUUAGUAUUAGUGUUAGUAUCAUAUUCGAUAUGUUUAAUUGAAUGAAUUAAAUGAUAUUGUAUUUAAGUAAAUUUAUCAUUUAAUGUUAUGCAGUUGUCAUUUAAAAUUGCGCUUGGUGAUUAGCAUUACUCCACCAAAAAGGUUUUGCAAAAUCAAAUCUUGACCACUUCACUUCAGCCGACAUAGCUGUUGACCAUGUUCCAAAAAGAGCCUUUGCCUCGUAACAAUGAUAAAACAACUACCAUUUAGUAAAGGACAUUAUCUAAAAUAUCAGAAAACAAAGUUGACUUUCUGCAAUCGCAUUGUAAUAAAAUCAAUAUUUAUAUAAAGUUAAGAUAAACAGUAGAAAUAGGUUGAUCAAAACAUUGUAACAUAACAGAAAUACAUAUCUAGGAAAUAUUUUCUGGAGAUUACUCAAACAUGCAAAACUUGGAAUUCGCAACUGUGAUGCCACCAUCCACAAAAAGGUUGUGUCCAUUCACAAACUUUGACUCAUCGCUUGCCAAGAACAUAACAGCUUCAGCCACAUCUUCUGGCUUAAGAAAAACACCUUUGAGAAUGGAAUAUACACUACCAAAUCCUUCAUCAUCCAUUUUGUAGAAAUCCUUUGAUUGCCGUGUAGGAACUACGUGCGGUGACACGCAGUUUACUCGAAUGCCAUAUUUUCCAAGCUCCACAGCCAUAUUCUUUGUGAGUCCUACCACCCCAUGUUUUGAACUUACAUAAUUGUGUGAAGAACCACCGCCUAUUUUCGAACAAGUACUAGCUGUUGUGAUUAUGUUCCCACUGCGAUUUGGGAUCAUCACUCGAGCAGCGUGUUUAGCACCCAGGAAUGCACCUAUGAGGUUUACAUUAAUAAUCUUUUCGAACUCUGAUUUUUCGAUUUCAAGAAUGCUUGGAUUUGAUUUUCCCCCAAUACCGGCAUUAUUGUGCAUUAUAUCUAGUUUCCCAAAUUUGGCAACAGUUGUGUUAACUGCGGUUUCUACAUCGGAUUCAUUAGUUAUGUCACAGUGGACAAAAGAGGCCGAUGAUUGUCCCAAAUCCUUGCAUACCUUCUCUCCCAAAUCAUCGUUGAUGUCUGCAAUCAUAACUUUAGCACCAUGUUGGGCAAACAGUUUGGCGGUUGACUCGCCUAUUCCAUUAGCAGCACCGGUGAUUAGUGCUACCUUGCCUUGGAGCCUAGGUUCGUAUAUUUUGUCAGUACAAUAUUCAUAACAUAUUUAUAAUAAUCUAUUGAAAACUUGUGUGAAUUGCCAACACAACUAUCAAAAUAGCAUGCCCAUGUACAUCUAGAAAAAAGUUCAAUUUGUUGAAAGUAAAUGCCUCAAGAUGUAAAUAAUAGUUAUAAUUUUUCAUCAGAAAGCAGUAUAUACGAACAAUUAAAGAGUUAUACCUUCUAACAAAAGUUGAAGCCAUUGAUGAACUUCCCACAGUUCAAGUAUACGGUGUUCUUCUUUGCUGUGAAUGUGAGUUGGUAAUUCUCUGCAUUUUUAAAGGUAUUUAUAGUGCGAGGACUGCUAACUAUGAAGAUAUAGACAGAAAACAGUCAUAUAUCGAAGUCAAUUUUCCAGCAAAAAGUGAUCUGUUUCCACGUCGUUUUUUGUAACUUUCUUAUCACUAGGUUUUGUCUUGUAGUUAGUUUUUUGCAAAGUCCCUAUCAUCGCCAACCUACUAGUCAAAAUCACAACAAUCUAAUGCAAUACAGCUAUUAUAUAAGAGUACAAUAAGCAAUUGGUAUUAACGAGCGGUCCUGAGAGAGUGCGAGUUGAGAGGUGCUCAUCAUUAUAGGAGAAUAAAAAAAAUUAAAAUUAAAAUUAAAAAUUAUAAGUGUGUGUGUGUGUGUAUAUAUAGAAAAUAUUUUAUUAAUUUUAAAAUUAAAAAUUAUUAUUAUUAUGUUAAAUUAAAGGGCACAAUAUUUAUGAAAAAGAGUAAACAAAUUUAUAUUAUGUUAGUAUUUUUUCAAGCAUAUAACAAUAAUAUUCUUGUCAUAAGUACUUCUCUUGCGUUCUUGAGAUGGUUUUUUGUCCGAUCCAAAGUUUAGCAUAUAAUUGAAAAAAAAAAAACUUAUUUACUUUUUUCUAAUUUAAAACUAUUUCGCUUUCAAUAAAAAAUUAUAUUUUAAACUAUUUGAUUUCACCAGCCCAAUCUCAAAUGCGCCAACUUCAUUAAUCAACUACCAACAAAACUAGGUAAUAUGCAGCUCAAAAUCCAAAUAGUUAAAGUGAAAAGUGGUGCAAAGGACAAGAGUGAGGUUAUCUCAUGCCUUACUGACAGCCGCAGUGUGGGGGUUUGAUUUCUGAGACAUGAAAUUGGACUUCUUGUAGGCGUGAAGGAUCAAAGCAUGAAUUCUCAUUAUCGAGAAAUAAUUUCUUCGUUUAGAUGAACCAAUAAAAAUUGAGGUCAUUGCAUAUCGGAGGUGCCACAAAUUUCAUAGGUUGUUUACAAGGAAACAUAGAAUGUAGAAGACAGAGUAGUAUGCAAUUUGAUGUCAUGCCUUUCAAGAACUACAACAACUUACACCAUCUUCAAUGGUACACGAAAUUUGUAGUAAGACACCACUCUAAUGGCAUACCAAAUUUGGAUUUGACCAAAUCCAAAUUUAUUUGGUCUAAUUCAUUUUCUCAUUUUGCCGUCCAUUUUCUGUUACAACAUAUUUUUUUUCCUUUUAAAUCCAUUUUUGGUUAUUCUUUGAAAAUUAUUUGUUUUGAAUUUGUUUAUAAUUAUUUUAUUGUGAUAGUUAUUUUUAUUUAACAUUUAUUUUUAAAUUCUAAUCAAGUAAUAUGUAAUAAGUAUUGAUUCAAUAAAUUAAACAUUUUUCAUUAAAAACUCAAAAAGUUAUAAAUUUGAUAAUUAGAGAUAAAGGACAAUUAGCACUACUUUAACAAUUUUAGUAAUAAUAUAAUUUGUAAAAUAAAUAAUUUAAAAUAAAUUUAUUGUUGAGAAAUAAAUAAUAAGGAAAUAUAUAUAUAAAAUACUAUUCAUUUGGUGUAAACAAUUGGAGACGUUACAAAAAUUGGACUAAAUUUGGUGUAACUAUUAGAGAUGCCCCGAUGAAAAUAUGUGGCACAAUUUUAUUAUAAUGAAAUAAGAAACAUAAUCAAACGCAAGAAAUUUCUAAAUGUCAUAAAAAAUGAGAAUCAAGCCAUAGUUACCUCGUCUUUAAAUUGUUGUUGCUUUUGAGACUUCCUUGAACUCAAAUCUGUAUAGCUCACUAGCUGUUGCCUUUAUUUAAAUUGCGACGUAAUAAUCAAUAUUAGUGACAGGAAAACAAGAAGAAUUGAUCGUAACAUGAUUAAUGUCUCCUCUAACAAAACCUAUUCCCAAACAAUUUUGUGCAAGGAGAUUGUUGAUAAGGUAUUUAGUAUGUUUGUGUAUCGUAUACAUUAGGACUGAUCAACAUAAUCGCCAAAUCGAAUUGAAAUCACACUUUCAAAAUCGUUUGUUAGGGUCCACAUGGCUCGUCAACAUUUGGAUUUUGAACUAAAUCAAGCCGCUUUGAAGCGAUUUUGUUUAAAUUUUUAUCUGUAAACCGUUUCGAACCGUUAAACUGUUUUAAAAAAUCUAAAAAUAAAUUAAUUUAAAAUUAAUCCGACACAAGUAAAACUAUAUAUAUCACAAUUAAAAACAUAAAUCCAUAUUAGACCUAACCCAGUUAGACCAUUACUCAUUACAAUUAAUUAAUUGAACCAUACAAUUACCCAUCAAUCAUCUAAAUUGUGAAUAUAAAACCUUCAAAUUGACUAAAGUAAAAAAUUACUACUACCAUAUUCUUUCGCGAGGAAUGAAAUAGCAUAUACCACAAUUUAUAUGGACAAGUAAAGAAUUAAUAUCAAAUAACUCCAUUGCAAUCAAUGUCAAAGGCAUUUUUUUAUCGAGGGAUUGAAAACUAUAAAUUGAAACCAUAAAAGUAAAAUCAAUUUCAAUAGGNNNNNNNNNNNNNNNNNNNNNNNNNNNNNNNNNNNNNNNNNNNNNNNNNNNNNNNNNNNNNNNNNNNNNNNNNNNNNNNNNNNNNNNNNNNNNNNNNNNNNNNNNNNNNNNNNNNNNNNNNNNNNNNNNNNNNNNNNNNNNNNNNNNNNNNNNNNNNNNNNNNNNNNNNNNNNNNNNNNNNNNNNNNNNNNNNNNNNNNNNNNNNNNNNNNNNNNNNNNNNNNNNNNNNNNNNNNNNNNNNNNNNNNNNNNNNNNNNNNNNNNNNNNNNNNNNNNNNNNNNNNNNNNNNNNNNNNNNNNNNNNNNNNNNNNNNNNNNNNNNNNNNNNNNNNNNNNNNNNNNNNNNNNNNNNNNNNNNNNNNNNNNNNNNNNNNNNNNNNNNNNNNNNNNNNNNNNNNNNNNNNNNNNNNNNNNNNNNNNNNNNNNNNNNNNNNNNNNNNNNNNNNNNNNNNNNNNNNNNNNNNNNNNNNNNNNNNNNNNNNNNNNNNNNNNNNNNNNNNNNNNNNNNNNNNNNNNNNNNNNNNNNNNNNNNNNNNNNNNNNNNNNNNNNNNNNNNNNNNNNNNNNNNNNNNNNNNNNNNNNNNNNNNNNNNNNNNNNNNNNNNNNNNNNNNNNNNNNNNNNNNNNNNNNNNNNNNNNNNNNNNNNNNNNNNNNNNNNNNNNNNNNNNNNNNNNNNNNNNNNNNNNNNNNNNNNNNNNNNNNNNNNNNNNNNNNNNNNNNNNNNNNNNNNNNNNNNNNNNNNNNNNNNNNNNNNNNNNNNNNNNNNNNNNNNNNNNNNNNNNNNNNNNNNNNNNNNNNNNNNNNNNNNNNNNNNNNNNNNNNNNNNNNNNNNNNNNNNNNNNNNNNNNNNNNNNNNNNNNNNNNNNNNNNNNNNNNNNNNNNNNNNNNNNNNNNNNNNNNNNNNNNNNNNNNNNNNNNNNNNNNNNNNNNNNNNNNNNNNNNNNNNNNNNNNNNNNNNNNNNNNNNNNNNNNNNNNNNNNNNNNNNNNNNNNNNNNNNNNNNNNNNNNNNNNNNNNNNNNNNNNNNNNNNNNNNNNNNNNNNNNNNNNNNNNNNNNNNNNNNNNNNNNNNNNNNNNNNNNNNNNNNNNNNNNNNNNNNNNNNNNNNNNNNNNNNNNNNNNNNNNNNNNNNNNNNNNNNNNNNNNNNNNNNNNNNNNNNNNNNNNNNNNNNNNNNNNNNNNNNNNNNNNNNNNNNNNNNNNNNNNNNNNNNNNNNNNNNNNNNNNNNNNNNNNNNNNNNNNNNNNNNNNNNNNNNNNNNNNNNNNNNNNNNNNNNNNNNNNNNNNNNNNNNNNNNNNNNNNNNNNNNNNNNNNNNNNNNNNNNNNNNNNNNNNNNNNNNNNNNNNNNNNNNNNNNNNNNNNNNNNNNNNNNNNNNNNNNNNNNNNNNNNNNNNNNNNNNNNNNNNNNNNNNNNNNNNNNNNNNNNNNNNNNNNNNNNNNNNNNNNNNNNNNNNNNNNNNNNNNNNNNNNNNNNNNNNNNGCAGUUUCUACAUCGGAUUCUUUAGUUACAUCACAGUGGACAUAAGAGGUUGAUGAUUGUCCCAAUUCUUUGCAUACCUUCUCUCCCAAGUCAUCAUUGACGUCUGCAACCAGAACUUUAGCUCCAUGUUUGUUGAACAGUCUGGCAGUUGACUCGCCAAUUCCAGUAGCAGCACCGGUGAUUAGUGCUGCCUUGCCUUCCAGCCUAAGUUCAUACAUUUUUUUAGUACAAUAUUUAGAAGUAAAUGCCUCAAGAAUUAAACAAAUAAAAUGCAGCAUAAACAAUUAAAGAAUUAUACCUUCUAACAAAAGUCGAAGCCAUUGAUGAACUUAACACAGCUCAAGUAUACUGCGAACUUCUUUGCGGCAUUUUGAAACGCCUUUUAUAUCUGCAGUCUGCACGUAAAUAAGCAUUAAUUAUGUCUAAAUCCUGUUUGAGAGCGAUAGCCACCGAAUUUGAUUCUCUCUGAUAAGUGUUAUCUCUUUCCAAGUCAUGGCCACGCACUUGGGUCCAAAUAAUUGACUACUACAAAUAACUUUUACUUACUUUAAAAGGAAACGGUAAACAUUAAACUUCAUAAAUUAAUAUGAUAAUCCAGUACAUUUACUUUAUUUUGUUCGGUCUAAAUAUUUAAGUAUCGUAGAAGAAGAAAAUGUAUAUCAAUUUUGGGUUCAUUUUGUAGCUCACGUUAAAUGACGUAGGUUGGACUCAAGAAAAACGUAAAUUCAUACAAAUUAAGCCUUAAUUACUAUGAUUCAAAGAACCGUAUUUAUUUAAUGGGUCAAAAGAUUAGGUUUAUCUUCAAUAACUAAUCCUAUUUGAAUUGAACUAUGUUGUUUCUUUUAAGUCAAGCCAAGAUAAGAUUGAUGCGCGGAAUAAAUUCUAUCUUCUAGACUGUGCAUAAACGUGGGUAUUUUUUUUAAAACCUGCGGUGAUGGAAUAAUGUUGAAGAAAAUUGGAAUUUUAAAAUUCAAACAAUUUAUGUUAUAUAAUAAUUCGAGCUCAUCCAAUUCACGAUGUGUCCUCAAGACAAAUCUGCUCCAUUUUACGUUGGAAAACAAGAAUCGUCUCAUAUGAUAAAACAAAUUUUCCCUCUUACAAAAGCAGCAGGCAAUUCGGCAGGACUAAAAUGUAUGUUAUAAUUAAUGUUGGGUCCUUCCAACCCAACUAUCACACUAUAAGCAUCAUAGCGAUAGUUAAUUUGUCCAAAGUGCUAAAGAUAUGUCGGUCAGACGACUAGUCUACAACAACCUUUCUAUGUUGCCUGACAGGUGACUAACUUUGAAAAAGAUAAGCAAUUUCACGUCGGCCCUCAAGUAUAAAGCACUAGUUACUUGUAAAGCCUAUCCAAUGAGAGUGAUCCAGCUAAUCAGAUUUUCCUGAGGGUGUCAUGUUGUUAUCUUCUGUUCACCAGCUCGUAUUGUAAUGCAGUUUGAUGUAAUGUUCUCAUCAAUAGGAACACCGCCACAUACACUUGUGUCUACAGUAAUUGUCUUAUUUUGGUUGGACGUACUUGUGCCACACAUUAAAUACAGCAUAAAACUCUUGUUUAGUGAAAAUUAAAAUUAGCCCAUAUUUAUAAAGUUUAAUUUAAGGGUCUGUUCACAAGAAUUUUGAGAAUUGAUUUUUUGACCGUUAGAAAAAAAGUGAGGACCGUCUGUGAGAGAAGAAGUAAAAAAUUAUGACUGGAGUAGUGAAAUAACGAUCAAAAAAUCAAAUUUUUGAGGUUAAAAUCACUCACAAACGGGGCCUAAGUUUAAAGUCAACAAUUAACUUUAGUCAUACAUUUUAUCAAUUUUUAACAAACUAUACUUCAAAUCUUAUUUUAAUCAGAUUUUUAACAAAUUUUGAUAAAAAUUGAUGAAAUGUAUGAUUGAAAAAUUAUGAAUUUCACAAAAUAUGUAUUUAAAAAUAAUUAUUGACCUUAAUAUAAUAAAAAGCACGUGUUUUCUGCUCCAUUUUUGGAACAAAAUAUAUUUUGAAAUAGUAUUUUGAUGGAAAAUAUUUUGUUAAAAAAUCAGAAAAAGAUUUGAGUUUGCAUGUAAAAUAAUUUUACAGAAGAAUGUGUGGUUGAAAAUGAGUUUUUUAAAAAAUGAGUGUCAAAUGUAGCCAAAUUUUAAUCACUACCAAACAAUGACAAAGAAAAUGAGGAAUAAGAGGAACAAAAUCAAAAUGGAAGUUUGUCAUUUACGAAAGAAUGGGGAUAAAAAUCAAGAAAAAGGAGACGUGCAUAUAUAUAAGACAGCAACUUGGAAGGAAAAAGAUAGAAAAAUAUAGGUACAAAAAGAAAAAGUUUGUGCCUUUGUGAAUAUUAUAAUUUGAAUAAUGGUUCUGUGUUUUGCGGUGUCAAGAUACUUCUGUGAUAUUAUUUUAAAUAAUAAGUUAAAUUGCUCUGAUAUCAUAUCACUGUCGGAACGACAACCUUACACGUACGAGAUUAAAUAGCCAACUUUCAACUUUCAAAAAUCAAAAUAGUGAUAUUUUCAUAAUUUGUAUUGAAAGAGUGGAAGCCAUCACAUAGUCACGUUCUUACAAAAGUUGAGGCCAUCACAGUUUGUUCCUCAUUAUUUCCUAAUAAUGCAUUUCAGAAUAGUAAAUUGAUAGAAAAUUAAAAAAUAAAAAAAAGUUGAGUUUACGUGUAAUAUUAUUUUAUUAAAAAAUGUGUGAUUGAAAAGAAGAGAAGGAAAAAUAUAUUUUAAAAAGAAUGAGAAUCAAAUUAGGGCUAAAUAUGCAUUGUGAACCUCUUUGCUCCUCUCUACAGGCCUUAAAAAUUGCCCGACUUUCAUUCUUGUCCCGCACAUUAAAUAUAUACCAUAAAGAAAAAGGUAGAAAUAGAAUCUGUAAAGGAAAGGAAAAAGAUAGGAACAAAAUCAUGAACAGUUGAAACUUGAAAGUGAGGUCUAAUUUAAAUAACGUAAGAAUUAACUAAGUUUAUGGGGAAACAAUUUUUUAUUUAAUAUUAUAUCGAUUUAUAACAUGUUAAAUUAUUCUGGUAAAUUUUGACUUUCAAUAUUAUAUAUUUCAUAGACUAUAUCGAAAGAGCGGAAGCCACGUAACUGAAUUAGAAAUGUAAGCGGUUCGAUUUUAUCGAUUUUAGACAGAUUUUCAAAUCAAAUCGUUUAAACCGGUUUGAGAAUAACCCAAAUAUAAACUAAACCAUUUUAAACGGUUUGAAAAAAAACUCAAACUUAAACCUAACGAUUUGGUCAAAUUUUAAAUCGUCGGUUCUGCCGUAUAUUUUUUUGUCUGUCUACUUUUAUGUCACUAAUUCAUUGAAUUCAAUAUAUAUUUAUAUCUUAUUAGCAAUAAAUCUAAAACAAACUAAAUAUAUCUACUAUAAAUUUAAAUACAAACUAAAUCAAAUUGAAAUCACAAUAAACUAAAACAUAAUUUUUUGUUCGCGAUUUUUAGGCUAAUGAUGUUAAGAUAAAGUUACAAUAAAAAUCUGCUAAACUAAAUAUAAGGCCAAAAACAUUAAUGAUGUCCAACAAGUCAUGAUUAUCAUAUCUGCAAGAAAAAAAGGUUAUCGAUUAGACAGAUAAAAUAACCAACCACAAUAUUUGUGAUUCUCUACAACAAAUGAUCACUAAAAAAUUAUAUAAAUGUGUCAAACAGUUAGUGUGCUUAAAAAAUAUCAAAGUUUACUUUAUGCUUACCAAAAAAAAUUAUUGUUGUGAACAUAUACUUCUCAAAUUCAACAAAAAAUCACACAGUUACACAACAAUUCUUCAACUGCAAUGGAACAUAAUUUUUACUGUACAACAUGAUAGAAAAGAAAAAAAACUAAAAUCCCGAUUGAGCCUAAAAAUAGGAGAGCCCAUUAAAGGUUGAAGAUAAAUAUACAUUUCUUAGACGAAUGCUUAAACUUUCCAUUAGAUUCAGUGAUUCAUUUGGCGAAAAAGAGAGAGGCGUCGUUUUGGGAACUAGGAAGCAUGAAAGGGACAACAAGUAGAAUUGAAAGAAACCUCUUUUCUAUUUCGUGUUAUUCAAGGGGUGUAAGCAAUAUAGUUCAAGCUCAAAUUCUUCCUCUUUUCUAUUUUGGAGCUCAUAUGGCUUUUAAGGCGCUAGGCCAAGACAAAAAUUAAAACUUAACAAAAAUAAUAAUAAUAAUAACAACUAAUUAGGAUUAUUUGGUAAUAAUAAUAUAUAUGUAAUAGAAGAUUAAAAAUUGACAAAAAUAUUCAGAAAUGACAAAAGUCACAAAACUAUUGAAUUUUACGUAUUUGGAUGAUUUUUUUAAUUUUUAUUUUUAUAUAUUUUUUCGCCGGUCCAAUUUGGUUUUAAAUUGCAAUUAAAAUUUUCAAAUCCAAACCAAACCGCUUUUGGUUCAAAACCAUUUCGUCAACGGGUUCACGUGACACCAAUCCAAUGGUUUCUAAAAUGCAAUUUCAGUUCGGUUUGAUAGUUUUUGCUUACAGCUCUAAACUGAACAUAUGCUUGGAAAAUAUUAUUUUUCUUCACCAACACAAAUACCAUUUAGUUUGAGAAGAUUUGGAAAAUGAUUUAGUAAACUCGAUAUUGUUAAUAACUUGCAGAAGCUAUUACUUCUUAUUUAAACAGCACCAAACCAAAUUCAAGAAUAAAACAUUAAAUAUUACAUUGUUAUUUCGAAAAAUAGUAAACAUUGUUAGAUACGAUUCUGGAAUAAUGUUUUGUUGGAUCAAAGGCGGAAAGAACAUUUUAAAAGGUCAUGGAUGCCUCACGGAUCAAGAAGCUUUGACUUCGAAAAAAAUAUUCGGGAAGCUGACGAGUCAACAUAAAGUUUCUUCAUGUCUUUUUAUGGCCAGACCUUGUUUUGGUCAUUUAUAAUGAGUUUUUUCAGUUAUUUUCUGAUAUACUUUUCAAUAGUUGUUACAUUUUUUAAAGGUUGUAACUUGAAUUUAAAAAUAGAUUCCACAUUACCUCAAUCUUGCACCAGAAAUUUUAGAGUAAUAAAUUUAUUCUCUUCUUCUUUUCAUCUAUUUUUUCCUUGCAUUCUUUACAUUCAAAUUUGUUCUCAAAUAUAUUUUAUAUUCUGUUAUAUAGCGGAAACAGUAAAUAAACAUAAGAUAUGAAGUUCUUUCAUCCGGUGUGUUUCAGAUUGUUUUGGUGACGUGUGUCGUGGAGGUAUUUCUAGUCGUGCACAAACCGGGCUCAGCUUCAAAAUAUAAACAAUCAAACACCAACCAAAUGAUUGCUCAAAUUCACAACUCUAUUAACUUCGGUUGCCUACUUUCUUGCACCCGCAGAGGACACAUGUCCGAUGAUUAAAUGUAGCCCCAAAGGAGGAUAAAAAUAGAGGAAGCAAUUAGUUAAACUCAAGCACAAAGAAGAGACUUUUGGAAAAAUAAUAGUUGCAGUAACAUGCAAAAUAGUAAAAUGCAGAAAUAAAACUUAUCGUCCGAUCGAAUCCCAUGACAGCACGAUAUCCUAAAGUAAAAUUUUUCAUCGAUAACUGAUGCGACCUCAGUGGACAAUCACUCUCAGGAUACAACGAUCAUAAACUACUUGUGUAGCAAUCACAAAUAGUUUCUCAGAACUCUCAAGUGUACUCCAUAAUAUAUAUAAAAACUCGGGGAAAAAACGAGAUAUGAGUUUAUAUAGACAGACUGGAUGUAACUGCCUCUUCCAUGAUCUAGAAAAUUUUGAAAAAAUUAAUGACUUUGUGGCAGUGGAUUGUUAAAAACGGUCACAAUAAACUGGCUACUUUUGACCCAUUAAAUAAUUUUGAAAAUAAAAAAAAAUUUAUUUUAGUCAAAAAAGUCCAAGAGCCCAAGGCCCCAAUCAAAGACUUUUUAAUAAUUGCGUGGAGAGUGACCCUAACCGUAGACAUUUCACACAAUUGCCAAAUUUUCCACCACUUUGGCACUUCAUCUAAAUUGAUUAUUUCUUUUACAUUUUAUAUUUAUAGUAUAAAUAUUUAACAAUCCCCCACAUGAAAAAAAUAAGAUAAAUGAAAAUAUUACUCUGGAGUACGGUAGAAAUCAUGCAGAUUUAGGUGUCUAUCGACUUGAACCUUGACUUUGUAUAUUCUAUCAAACUUGCUAACUGUAGAGUGAACUAUGUCUUGAACUCUACAAUUAUAGUUGGAAAUUGAGACAAUAGAACACACACAUGACUUCUAAAAUAAUCAUUGAGUUCUUGCGGUUGUGUUCAUUUCGAUCGUAAACUUUCCCAAUUUCUUUGAAUGCUAUAGAGAAUUAGCCUCAAUUCUCAUAAGAAGUGGUCCCACUUCAACACUCAAAUAGAUGCUUCUAUCAAUGGUGUACUGUAUCUAAACACCCUACUGAAUAUAAGCUAUAGUAAGUAUUAAGAGAAUUAGCUCAUUCUCUAAUCAAUACAGUUGGUACUACGCAUCAUAGGGAGGGGUUUGGAAUAAAUCCAAUGUAGUACCCCACAGACCCCUCCAAUAACUUUGUUGUCCCAUUGGACUUUGACCAUGGGCUCUCCAAUCACAAGGUUGGAUUUCCGUUAUAGGUUAUCUAGUUUGUAAUAGGCUUUAGCGCUAUACUCCUCGAUGUUUUAUGAACUAGCUCUCUAGCCAAUCCUUUGGUUAAUGGGUCAACAAUAUUAUCACUUGAUUUCACAUAGUCAAAUAGUCAAUACCCCAUCCUUAAGCAGUUGACACAUAGUAUUGUGCCUCCUACAAAUAUGUUUAGACUUUUCAUUGUAGGAUGAAAUUUAAGCUUUUGAAAUAGCUGAUUAACGGUCACAAUGGACAGAAAUAACUGGAAAUGGUUUAGACCACGAAGGAACAUCCAUAAGAAAAUUCCUUAACCAUUCAGCCUCCUCACCUGUUUUAUCUAAAGCUAUGAACUCAGAUUCCAUAGUAGAUCUCGCAAUGCAGCUUUGCUUAGUGGAUUUCCAGGAUAUAGCACCGCCUGCUAAUGUAAAUACAUAUAUCGUAGAUUUACUUUCACUUGUAUCGAAAAUUCAAUUAGCAUCACAAUAUCCGUCAAGUACAGCAGAAAAUUUGGAAUAAUGUAUUCCCCAAUCUAGAGUGUAUCUCAGAUACCUCAAUACACAAACGAGAGCAUCCCAAUGUUCACUGUUAUGAUUACUAGUAUACCUGCUAAGUCUACCGAUAGCAUAUGCUAUAUCAGGUCUUGUACAGUUCAUGAGAUACAUAAGACUACCGAUCACUCUAGCAUAUUCUAAAGCCGAAACACUAGGACCUGAAUGUUUUCUCAAAUCAUGGCUUACAUAAUAAUGUGUUUUAGUAGGAAUACAGUUGUAUUGGUUAAACUUCUUAAACACUUUUUCUACAUAAUGUGAUUGGAUUAAAAUGAUUCCUUUGGAAUGUUUUACUAUUUUGAUUCCUAGAAUAACAUCAGCAACACCCAAAUCUUUCAUUUCGAAGUGCUUAUUUAAAAAUUGUUUAGUUUUAUUAACCACAUCUAAUUAGUUCCCAUAAUCAGCAUAUCAUCAACAUAUAAGCAAAUUAUCACACCACGAUUAUUUUCAAAUUUGCUAUAUAUGCAUUUAUUUGCUUCAUUUUCACAUAACCACUUAAUGUCAAAACUGUAUCAAUUUUUUCGUGCUAUUGCUUAGGAGUUUGUUUAAGGUCAUAAAGGGAUUUUCUAAAUCUACAUACUUUAUCCUCAAGGCCUUUUACAGCAAAUCCUUUGGGCUAAUCCAAAUAAAUCUCCUCUUCUAAGUCUAUAUUUAAAAAUGCAGUUUUGACAUCUAUUUGAUGUAUAAUAAGAUCAUACAAUGAAGCAAUUGUAUCUAACAUCGUAAUAAAGGUAAUCUUAGUAAUGAGUGAAUAAAUAUCAAAGAAGUCAACUCAUUCUCUUUGUCUAUAGCAUUUGGCUAGAAGUUUAUUAAUCAAACCAUCAGGUUGAAGUUUUUUCUUAAACAACCAUUUACACCCAAUUGUCUUACAUUUUUGAGGUAAGUCCACUAACUUCCAAGUAUUGUUAGACAUAAUUGAAUUAUAUUCACUAUUUACACCUCAGUGGACAAUCACUUCCAGGAUACAACUAUCAUAAACCACUUGUGCAGCGAUCACGAAUGGUUUCUUAGAACUCUCAAGUGUACUCCAGAAUAUAUGUAAAAACCCAAAAAAAAAUUCAAACUAUGAGAAAUCAGAUUUCGUUUUAAAUGAUUUUCUUUUUUCUUUUAUGUGUGUUCUUACCAAAAUGAGAUAUGAGUAUAUAUAGACAGAUUGGAUGUAACUGCAUCUUCCAUGAUUCAGAAAGUUAUGCAAAAUUUAAUGGCUUUGUGGGUAGUGGAUUGUUAAAAAAAGGUCACAAUAUCUGGAUAGUUUGACCUAUUAAAUAAUUUCAAAAAAAAUAAAUUAUUUUAGUCAAGGAACCCCAAGAGCCUAAGGCCUCAAUUAAAGAUUUUUUAAUAAUUGUGUGGAGAGUAACCCGAACCCCCGAUGUCCCACACAAAUGCCACAUUUUUCACCACUUGUGCACUUCAUCUAAAUUUAUUUUAUCUUUCACAUUUUAUAUUUAUAGUAUAAAUAUCUAACAGAGACAAAUCAAAGUCAACAGCCUCAAGUUUCUUGCAUAACAAACGACUUUCACAGAGGAGGAAAUGGACAAUAUAUGGAUUAGGUAUAGUAACCAAGUUAGGCCACAAGUAGGUAAAUGGGCCAACAAUUAUAUGGGCCAUAUAAUAAGUGAAUUGGGCCAUGAGCAAUCUUAAUUAAUUAAGCUGCUUUAAAUGGCCUUAGUUAUUUUCGAGUCUAGUCAAUCAAUAUAAUGUUGAUAUAAUUAACCCAACCCAUUUUAACAUCAUCAUUGGGGAUUUAUUGGAUAACAAAACCCAAUAACAUCUAUAGAUGCCAAAAUCAUCUCAAGAUAGUUCCAUUGCAUCUUGUAGGUUCAUUUGGAUCGCUUGUGCACUCAUCCAAUGCGGAAUAAAUAUUGUCUUAACUAAAAGCUUUACCUUGUUCCUCGAAAUAUAAUAUGGAGUUUUUGUUUUUCAGGCCAUUCAUUACCAACAACUUUAAGACAAUGUUGGUUGUGCCUCAUGAUGGCUACUAUUGACUAACAUUUGAUUUGUGGACAAAUAGUAUUCCUCUUCUUUAUUCAUUGGCGGCUCGCAUGAUACUAGCGAAUGAAUGAAAGUUGCAUCUCAGAACAAAUUCUAUUCUAUAUGUGUUUUCCGUAGGUUCGUCGCUAACAAUUAAAAAAGGAUCAGACGAUUGUAUAAGGGACAAACCUCUUGAGACAAAGUCCCAAAAAGGGACGUUCUUUAUUGGCGAUAUCUUUACAAUCGGAAAGUAAAAACAGAAUGCCUCCAAGGGGCGCAAACACACGAGUUACUGAAAGAAGUGUUUAAAUUUAAACUAAGAAAUUUAAAGUUACAUGUUCUCUGUUCGAGAGUUUUUGAUUCGGUCUCCUUUGCUCUAUGUCUUUUCUUCCUUUUAUACUCCCUGUAUGAUCUCUUUGUGAUCAACCGCCUAAAAACUGCUUGAUCGUUCUAUAACUGCCCACUUUCCUCGUAAUGGCCAACUUGUCAUGGAACUGCCUUUUCUAACUGCUGCCAUUACUCUUUGUCGUUCAACCGUCUUCAAUUGAAUUCCUUGAAUCGUGGAACGGGAUAGGGCUGCUUAAUAACUGUUUUGAUAACUGCGCUUCUUGAUAACCAUAACACUUCAUGUUUGCUAAGACCUUGGGCGACUCGAAGGUUUGGGCGAGAAUAGAGUAGCAGCUCUGGGCGACUGCAUGGCUUAUAUUCGCUCAGAUCUUGGGCGACUUGCAAGCUUGGACGAUGGUGUUACCACGUUCAUGGGCCUCCCUAUUUGGGCCUUCAUCCUAAAUUGUCUGAUUGGGCUUCGUUCUUUGGACUAUCUGAUUUGGGGAUCCUCCAAUUGGACUUCAUUCCUUGGACUGUUCGAUUUGGGCUGAAUUUUUAUGUGUCAACAAUUACCCCCCAAUAUGGCAGAAUUAAUACCAAUUAUUAAAUUUUGCCAUAUUCACUUUGUGUUUCCAGCAACAUUCGAAAUUUCCAAGAAUUUCAAUCAUUGUUUUCUUCCAUAGCUUGAAAAGGUGCGACGUUUUGCAAACCCUUAUAACCCCCAAAUACGCCAUUUCACUGCACCAUUAAAUCACUCCUCACUUUUUUCGCGCUUCUCUCUCACAAUUUUACUAUUCAUCUCUUUGCUUCCCUGCUACGUAACUUUGAAAAACUCCAUUUCGUCCCUAAUGGCUACUUCACAAUCUCAAUCUGGCGACUCCUUUAGUUUUGAAAACUUUCAAAAACUCCUUAAUCGUCCAUACGUAACUCCGAACUUUCUCGCACUUGCCAACGUCGAACUCAAUGAGUUCUACCUAGGUCCUUUCUUCAACAAUGCAAAGGUAGUCGAACAAGCGGGGGUAGGUCAGCUGUUUCCUUGUACUCAAGGCCCUCCAUUUCUAAACUCUCUGCCGCUGGGGCCACUUCGCGAAAGAGGUAUUCGCACUUGGCCUAAAUCUGAUGUAGUUUUCCAUAGGUGACAUGCUCGCCUUGUGGACCAUGGUCCUACUAAGGCACUUUUUGAUAAUGCUAGGAUUUCUGAUUUGUUAGAAAUCUCUCUUCAACCCCCUACUUUUGAUUCAGCACUUUUUUCGAUCGCUUUAAGUUUUUGGUCUUUUGAGUAUAAUACCUUUGUUUUCCCUCUUGGUCCCAUGUCUAUUACUUUAAGGGAUGUUGGGGUCCUAGUGAAUCUGCCACCUUUGGGUUAUACCAUUUUUCCUGGUAUCUUGGUUUCUGGUGGCGCCCCAAAGUUUGGUAAAAACCUCACCGAGUCUUAUUCAAGCCUACAAACCCUUCAUAACCACUCGAGCGCUGAGCCUUCCCAUACUGAGCGUGUGGCCUUUCUUCUGGUUUGGCUUUGUAAAUAUGUUUUGUGUGUACCAAGCAUAAAACCCUCCCUGAGCUAUUUACCCAUAGCGCACGAAUUGGCCCGUGGCAAGCCUCUGAAUUUAUAUUCUUUCUUUUUGACUACCCUGUAUAGAGGCAUGGCUUCUCUUCAAACUCAAUUGAAGAAUGGUGCAUCUCCCACUGGUAGUGGACCUCUUUGGUUCACUCAAAUGUGGUUGAGAUCCUAUUUUCCAUCGCUUGGUGCUCCAUCAUUUUCUUGUCCUUCUGCUAGCUGCUAUGGGCUAGCCAUCAAGCCCCUGGCUCCUGUAAAUAUGUCUAAAAGGGACAUUUUUUCAUUCUUUUAUUCUUUGGAUUCAAUCCCUUCCUUCUUUCCUUUUCCUUCCUUUUUGACUCCAGACUAUGUACAUCCUCCCUCCACUAUAAACAACGCGAGCACCUCUCUGCUCAUUUGGAUCCAAUUUUUAACCGGGAGGGAGUUAUUUCAUGAUAUUUUGACUGGGACCAAUGCCAAGGCUGGGGUAGAAAUAUAUGCUCCCCAAUUUUCUGCUCGCCAACUUGGUUUCGGCCAAACCUGGCCUGUUCCUCCUUGCUAUUCAAGAAACUUGAUAGACCGCUUCCAUAUCAUUAAUAAGGCGGAGGCAGAGGUUAUAAAUGCUCGCAAUCUUCUUUUGACGAGCCUUUUUCAUUAGCACCCUUCAACUCUAGCCGUGCCAUCCAUCCCCUUUUUGAACAACUCUGGCCGUCAGUGAAGCACAGAUUGUUUGCGACUGAUGCCAAUCGUGUCUUUCAUUCAUUGAAUCAGCCAAGCAUUUCUUUCCCUCCUCCUGUUUUAGUCACCCCUUUGUCUAUUCGGAGUCCUUCUCCUCCUCGUCGUGCUAAACAAUCUGCUCGUCCAUUUUCUUCUCUCCCUGUCAAGCCUACUGCGGCCAAAAGUGCCCCGAGCCACAAACGGCCAGCCUCAACAUCUCCCAUUCUGGAGGAUGAUGUUGAUGAUAAUGAUGAUACCCCUCUUAUCAUCAGGAUGAUACCCCUCUUAUCAUCAGGAGGAAGGUAAUUAAAUUGGUUUACUCACAAACAUACUUUUCCAUACUUGAAACUUUUCUGUGUGCUAAUGGUUUAUUUGGACUUCUCAGAAAAGUUCAGCCUCUCCUUUGAAGGCCUUGGUGUCGGCAACUCCUGCUCCAUCAUCCUCCGCUGAGGCUGCUUCAUCCAAACCAGCUAAAUGAAGGGACUACGCUUCAAGAGACAUCUUCAGUCCCAGAAUCCUCAUCUCAACCAAUGGAUGAGCCACCUUCUUCCCAGGGCGUCGACCCCCCAAACAUCGAAGCAGAAGGUAAUUCAAUUUUUUGAUGCUUUACUUUGCUUGUGCUAUUGGUUUCUGAUUUGUUGUUUUUGAGUUCUACAGAUGCUCCUAUGAGUCUGCCCGUUGUGGCAACAUCUUCUUGCUUAGACAAGGAGAAGUCCUCACGAAUGGUGGAGCCACAUGUGGCAGACUUGGCUGGGGAUAUGCCAUCUUCCAAGAUUAUUGAUGAGGUAAUCUUUGCUUCACUUUUAUUUCCAUCUUGUUCAUUGUAGUGAGAAUCUUCAAUAUUGGCAAUUUUCUUUGCAGGAUGUUGAUAAGAUUGUGCAUUCCAUCCAAGACUUGUUCGCUUCCUGGAGGCAAAUCAAGACAUCUCGCCCUGCUCUAGCUAGUCGUCCUGCUACUUCUUCAGAGGAAGAUAUGAAAUUCCUCAAGCAGUCGAUAUUUGAGUACGUGUCCUUCAUAGAUAUGGACAUUGGUAAGGCUAGUGUUGCCAGACAUAAGGAUAAGCUUGAGCAUUUGAAUGCGAAGUUGGAGCAAGCACUGACACUUCCGUCGCUCAAUCUUUCUGCUGAUUUUAAAGUGACGUUGAAAGUUAUCCAUUCCGAGGUCCUCUCCUUGCUGGCCAAGAAUGUUGAACUGAAGCCCAAAAGUACUCAAUAUCUUCACUCCAUAUCUGAAAAAGAGUCUUUGCUUCUAGAGAUCAACAAAGCUGAGGACGAGUUGAAAGAAAUCUCUUCCGAAGUCAUGAUUGAAGACUCUUUGAUGGCUAGUUUGGCUGCUCAGAUGAAGGAACUUCAAGCCAAAAUGGACGACUGCAAGGUGAGAAUGGCUGCUAAAAAGCGUAACGCCUCGCAAGAAAUUGAGCGAACUAAGUCUUUGGUCAAGCAGUACAAGAAGUUGGAAGUUGAUGAUAAUGUUGUGGCCGAAUUGAACAGCACUUCCUCUCGGCAGAACGAGGACUGGGGAAAACUUAGGGAAAGAAUUCGUUCGGUAUGGGGCGGAUUGUAAUUAAGACAUAUAACGCCUUAACUUUUUUCUUUUUGUAAUUUCGCAUUUGACUUUCCCUUUGUAACCUUGUACAUCAUUAAUGAACAUCUAUGUUAACUUUUUGUGCAUUUAUUUGACAUUUGUCUUUUAAUUGCCAAUCCUUCAAGUAUUUAACUGCUUUGUGCUAAAAAUCUUUCACAUUUUAUCUUGAUAUUUCUACCUCUUUUCCCAAGAUUUGGGCUACUUAAUUCCAUUUACUAGGCAGAAUGUGGCUGCUCAUAUUCUGUCUCUUCAUCUCCACCCCCUAUAAAUGCACGUAUGCUUCGCACUUUUCAUCUUCCAUCUUCAUUUUCAUUCUCUUCUUCGAAACCAAUUUGCUGCCAUUGUUUGGCAUUCUGACAAUCAAUCUAAACCCUUCGUCUUCUAUAAAAAUGGAUUGUUUGGUCCGCCCAUUUUACUACUUGUCUUGAUGUCACCUUUGGUAUGGGAAAUAUAGGAAAUAUUUUUUGGCCAGCAGCGAAGUUUUUCCCAUCAAAGUUCUUCCCAUCGUCUCUUUGUUCUUUACAAGGGGUUCGAUGAUGGAAGGCAAUUUUUGGGAUGCUUGCGGGCCACCUUGCUUGCUGAGAGUGAUUCUCAACCUCUUUACCCGCCAUUGCAGCGAUGCAUUUAGGAAGGCGAUGCGAGGCCAGUGCACCCUCUUACUCGACGAUCGACUGGGAGAUUAGCUUACUUUUAAUUGUAGCUUGUAGAGCAUCUAUUAUUUGUAUCUUGCAACUUUGUAAUGAACGUUUGAUAAUAAAGGAAUUUAUUUGAACGUACUUCGCUCUGACCCUUUUAUCCUUAAUCGUUCAACAUGUUUUGAUUACGCUUUUAUCUGUUCACUUUCCUAGAAAGAAGGAGCAUAUUUUUUCAAAUAUUUGUCGUUGAUGAAUCUCACGUGCUUGGUGCCAUCUAAAUCUUCCAAAUGAUAUGUUCCAUUGGGCAACACACUGCUUACUUUAUAUGGUCCUUCCCAAUUGCGCGACCACCUCCCGUACUUUGGAUCCUUGCUAUCCAAAGGGGGUAUCGUCUUCCAAACUAAUUCGCCCAGGCUGAACGACUUGGCUAUGACUUUUUUAUUAUAAAACUUAACCAUUCUUUGUUUUUGAACUUGCAAUCUAUCUAGGACGUCCAACUUUAAUUCAUCCAACCCCAAUAAAUUUUGAACUGGUGAUUCAGUAUACUCACCAUCAUUUAACUUAUGUUGCAAGCACACUCUAAUUGAUUGCACGUUGAUUUCCAUAGGCAAAACGACCUCCUAUCCAUAAGUAAGUUAGAAAGGAGUAAUUUUGAUACUUGACCGACGUGAUGUUCUAUAAGCUCAUAAGGCCUUAUCUAGACAUUCGUGCCAAUUUUUGGCAUUUUUAUCUAUCAUCUUUCUGAUGAUAUUUUUUAGAAUCUUAUUAGAAGAUUCUGCUUGUCCGUUGGAUUGAGCGUAAUAUGGUGUGGAGUUUACUAAUUUAACCCCAAACUCGCUCAAAAACUUGUUCACUUGAUCCCCAUUCAAAGAUGUUUCGUGAUCUACCAUCAACGUUUGUGGAAUUUCAAACCUAUAAAUGACGUGAUCACGGAUAAACUCUAUGACAUUCUUUUGGGUGAUCUCUUUCAAAUGUACCGCCUCUACCCACUUGGUGAAAUAGUCGGUUGCAACUAUAACAAAAGUAUGUUGCUUGGACAAUGGGGGAUAAAUCUUUCCUAUCAGGUCUAUCGCCCAACCCUUGAACGACCAAGGUUUAAUAAUAGGUGCCAUCUCUCGUGCUGACGCCCUUUGUAUUGGACCAUGCUUUUAGCAUGCUAAACAACUCUUUGCAUACUGAACGCAUAAUUCUCCCAUCUUUGGCAAAAAAUAUCCACUCCUAAUAAUUAACCAUCUCAUCCUUUGGCCAGCUUGAUGAGCUCCACAUAUCCCUUCGUGCACCUCAGCCAUGAUCGUCCUGGCUUCUUGCAAACUUACACACUUUAGCAAUACACCAUCAGAGCAUUUUUUUAAACAACUCUUCAUCUAUUAGUGUAUAGUUCAGCAAACACAGCUUCAUUUUCCUACUAAUCCCUCUAUUAGGUUCUUUAAGGAACCUUUUAAUCUCUAUUCUCCAAUCCAUUGCAUCUCCAUCUUGUAUGUAGUGAAGUUCAAUCCUUCUCGCCCUUCUUUAGGUCACAGGCAAUAUGGUUCCAUACUCACAAGUAGACUUCCAAUUCAAAACCUUUGAAUACCCUAAGGCCAUUUGGCCCAACUCAUUUGCCACGUCGUUAUAUAUCAUAUUAACGCAUUGAAGUUCUACUUGGUCGAAUUCUUCUAACAAUUCUUGGGCGGUCUCAUAUUGACUUAUAAUGGAAUCACUUUGGCAUUUAAAAUCACCAAUCAAUUGGUGAAUUACCAAUUGAGAAUCGCCCAUAACGAUCACAUUUCUUACUCCCAUAUCUAUCAUUAGUUCUAGGCCUACGAUUAAGGCUUCAUAUUCGGCCUGAUUGUUGGUGCACAUCCUGUCUAAAGUGAACGUGAACUUGUAGUAAAUCCCUAAAGGAUUAAUCAAUGCUACUCCUACUCCUGCACCUUUAGAGGUUUUUGACCCAUCGAAAUACAACACCCAAGAUUUUAGCUCGAAUGAAUUGAUUUCUAAUUCAAUUUCUUCAGGCAUGUCAAGGCAUGGAUGAUCAGUUAGAAAGUUAGCUAAAGCCUGAUUUUUGACUGCCUUUUGAGGUAUAUAUUGUAUCUCGAAUUCUGGUAGAGCUAAUAUUCAAAGGCCUACCCUUUGGUAUAAAAUAGGGCGAGAGAACAUAUACUUAACUAAAUUUACUUUAGAAAUUAAGUAAACGGUUACGGGCCGUAAAUAAGCCCUUAAUUUUGUACAUGUGAAAUACAAUGCAAGACAUAAUUUUUCGAUAGCAAAGUAAUUACAUUCACAUUUUGUUAACCGCCUACUUAUAGUAGUAAAUUACCCUUUCUUCACCAAAUUGGUCUUCCUGCGCGACCAUUCCAGUUAUUGAUUCUUUUUCAGCCGAUACGUACACUUUCAUUGGCCGUCCUUGGAUUGGUGACACCAACACUGGUGGACUUGAUAAAUAUGUUUUUAGACUUUCAAAAGCCUUUUGAUGUUCUUCUUUUCAGACGAAUUCGUCCUAUUUUUUAGCUUUAAGAGAGGCGAAAAGACUUUAGUUCGCCCUGCACAGCUAGAAAUAAACUGUCUUAAAAAGUUUACUUGGCCUAGAAGCCUUUGCAAUUCUUUUUUGUUGUUAGGUGGUUUGGCCUCUAAAAUGGCCUUCGCUUUAUUUUUAUCAAGUUCAAUCCCUCUUUUGUGUACCAAGAAAUCAAGAAAGUUCCCUGCAUUAACACCAAAUACACAUUUUAAGGGAUUCAACUUUAGCUCAUAUUGCUUCAUUCGUUCAAACGAACACCUUAACUGUUCGAAAUGGUCCUCUUCUUUAAUGGAUUUGACCACUAUAUCAUCUACAUACACUUCAACAAACUUGCCUAUCAUAUCAUGAAAGAUUAAAUUCAUUGCCCUUUGAUAAGUUGCUCUUGCAUUUUUUAGGCCGAAAGGCAUGACCACCCAUUCAAAACAUCCUAGAGACUCAGGGCAUCUAAAGGCAGUUUUGUGUAUAUCUUCUUCAGCUAUAUAAAUUUGAUUGUAUCCUGAAUACCCAUCCAUGAAAGAAUACAUGACGUGUCCGGCAGCUGAGUCUACUAAAGAAUCCACUGUGGGCAUUGGAUACUCAUCUUUGGGUGUAACUAUGUUUAAAUUCCUAAAGUCUAUGCACACUCUUAGUUUACCAUUCUUUUUUAGUACUGGCACGAUAUUGGACAACCAUUCGACAUACCUGGCUGUUCUAAUAAAGCCUGUUUUCAAUAAUCGCUCUAUCUCUUUCUUAAUUUCAGGGAGUACAUUAGGAGCAAAACGUCUAGGAGGCUGCCUAUGAGGUUUAAAAUUAGGCUUAGUUGGUAACCUAUGUUCAACCAAGUCUCUAUCUAAACCAGGCAUUUGUUCAUAUUCCCAAACAAAAAAAUCUUUAUACUCCUUUAGCAAAGCGAUUAAUUUAUCACUAACCUCUUGAUCGAGCAUCUGGCUGAUGAAUGUUGGACGAUCUUCUCCUUCAUUGCCAAUAUUUACUUUGAUCAGAGGGUCUUGUGCUUGAUCGUAUCCAGGUUUGAUGAUCCGCAUCACUUCGUCGUCCAGUUCCCUUGUAAGUACUUCUUCUUCUAAACAGUACACCUUGUUGACUUCUCGGCCAAUGCUUUGUUCUAACUCGAAUACUGCCCAUUUGUCUUUCAGUGCUCUUAGGGCUGCCUCUUCUUUCGUUUUGUUCUUGCAUUCUUUAUUGAAAAUCAUUAAUCUGGCUUUAAAGGCCCGAAUAUCGUCCAUUUGCUUUUGUGGCUUAGAAUCCAUUUAAGACUCCUUGAUUAUUCUUUUGCCAAUUACUGCCUCUUCUAAGACCACUAUAUUUGGUCUCAUUUGGCCGAACAUUUCAGUGAGUGCGUCCACUGAAAAUGGCUCUUCACUCUGUGCGACGAUCUGAGUUUCUUCUCCAUCUUGGACUACCCUGACAGGUCCAUAGUUUCCUUCGUAUAUGAACCUUUCCACUGAGUUUGCUUCUGCGACAAAAGGUCUAUGAUCGGCCUGCACCACCUCUGCUUCACCCUUGUUGUUCCACAAGACCAGGCAUUGAUGGAGUGAUGAGGGUAUGCAGCGGCUUCCGUGUAUCCAAUCUCUUCCUAGUAACAUAUUGUAACUAGUAGGACCAUCUAUUACAAAGAAGACUGUUGUCCUAGUAGUUGUCCCUAUAGUUAUGUCCAAUGGCAUAACUCCCUUAGCUGAAGUUGAUCCUCCAUUGAAACUCGUAAGGAUGACUUCUGUUGGAAUCAUGUCACCCUCUGUCUUUGCAAAUUUUCUCAUCAUCCUAGAUGGAAUGGUGUUUAUAGCUGCUCCAUUGUCGACAAGCACUUUUGUCACAGGAAUGUCGUUAACUAGAGCUUUAACGUACAAUGGCCUCAAGUGUUUAGUCAAUUUCAUGGCUGGCCAUUUAAAAUAACCUUUUCGACAACCUAUAUUUCUACUUCCUGCUUGUUUUCUAUCGAAUUAUCCCUCUGUGAUUAGUCAACGUGCAGCAUAUCGCGCUGAACCUCUUUCUCCUGAAUUUCCUCCUUACUGUUUUCUAAUGCUUCUUCAUCAGUUACCCAACCUGUGGGAGGAGGCAUUAUUCUUGGAGGUGAUCCAUACUUUUCAGAACGAGGCACUCUCUUCUUCCUUUUAGGCAUCCCGUACAGUACGUAAAAAUCGAAAGGAUGCCCAGAUGAUUCUCCUAGUGAGUCUACUUCACAAACUCCCUCUCGAUGUAGUUGUUUCAACAGAGUAUUGUGCGAUACUCCUCUCCUUCUUCUUUCUGCUUCUAGGUCGAUUUCUUCUUCGAUGUUUGUCAUCCCAUCGUCUUCCUCACCAUUGUAGGUCUCUCUAGAAGUCUGGCCUUCUUCACAUUCCAGCACGCAAGCCUCUCCUUCGUUGUCUUCCCUUUCUUCUUCUUCUUUUUCUUUAUUCUUAAAUUCAUUGGCCAGUAAGUAAUUAUUAGCCAUGACAGGAGGUAACGCACCGAACUGGAUAGUAAGGGGCUGAUCUGGAUCUUCUCCAUCCCUUCUGUCUCGCUCAAACUUUGAUCUCCCAGAAGAAGUUUCUGUUAGCUCUUUCAUUGAUUCAUCUGUAUCGAUUUCUCCACUAUCUUUGAGAACAUUUUGACUGGCUACCUUGAAUAGUCUAGGCGCUUUAGGAUGUGGCACUCCCUGUUGCUGCCUCAUCAUUCGUCCAUAGUUUCGUUGGAAACGCCUUUGUUGGGUUCUAGUCAUCUCAUCAAAGGGUAUUGCCCUUCCUGCAUUAUACUGGAACGAAUGCCAUACAUUUGGCCGGCGUGGUUGCGGUCUGAAUGUUCUCCCAUUAUCUACUGGCCUGAACUGCCUUUCAAAAGGCGGUCCUCUAUAGAAUGAUGUACCUCUCCCUCUACCAGGCUGAGUGUUUGGGAAGAAAGUAGGGCGAUGGGGAUGCUGCCAUAUCCUUGGUUUCUCCGUGUUCUCACUCACUUCUCUUUUACAUCUUGCACAUAGGACGUCUUCCUCCUUUUUUGGCACCUUCUCCUUGAUUCGUUCAAAGACACUGGGAUGUGGUCCAGGGUCCUCCUCUCCAUCAUCUAUGACCAACUUGAAUUUUGGCAACUUGUUUUUGAAACCAGAUGUCACCAUGUUCACUCCAAGUGGCUGUGGAAAAGGAUUUUCAUCCACUGCCAUCUUCUUCUUAUCGUCGAACGUAAUUUGUCCUGAUUCAAUUGCAUCCUGCAAUACAUGGCAAAAAAUCAAGCAAUUGUUAGUCAGAUGUGACCAUGCAUUAUGCCACUUACAAUAUUUUUUACCUUUAAUUUGUUCAGGGUUUGGCAGUUUAUGCUUAUCGCUCAACUUUAUCUGCUUAUCCCCAUAUAAUUUAUCAAAUAUAAGGUUAGCUUUGGUUACAUCGAACGAAAAUGUUCUAGCCUUUAUGUUUCCAUCUUUCAUGGGCUCAUCUUUGCCCGAUGGUCUAGUCUUAGCCAUUAUAGGACAAGUAAACGUGUUUCCUUUGACUAAUUCGGCCAAACACAUUUUGGCUUGAUCGUAUGACUCGUCGCUGAUGGUAUGAACAUCAAAAUUUGGGUCUUUGUAAUAAGUCCCUUAACUAGAAUUUUUCAUGUGUUGUUCUUCUCUUAUCAGUCGUUCAUACCUAAUCACAUUCGCACUCAACUGGAAAAGGUCAGAAAAUUUCUUGUCUUGGAAUUUCUUUUUUAAAUCAAAGCUCGAACAACCCUGAGCGAUUUUGACAAAUUCCUUUUCGGGCAGAGGUACAAAACACUUGCUUUUUGCUGUCUUGAACCUUUGGAGAAAACUUUCUGCCCAUUCAUUUGGCAUUUGACGUAGAUUCGCCAAAUCAGCCAAAGUAACUUCAGACUCAGUUUUAUAAAACUGAGCAUGGAAUAAUUGUUCCAAUUGUUGCCAUGUUUGAAUAGAGUUCGGUGGCAAAUUGAUGAACCAGGAGAAAGCUACUUUUGUUAAUGAACUAGGAAAAAGCCUCAUUUUAUGGUAAUUAGUUACAUCACCACUUUGCAAUGUGAAUCGCCCUAUGUGUUCUAGAGUAGACACUUCUCCUAAAUCGAUAAAUAAUGAGAAUUCUAGCAUUUUAUACCCUCUAGGCCAUGGAUAUGCUUGGUCUACCCAAUCAGGAUAUGACUUUGUGUAAGUUGGCCUAAAGACAGGACGCACCCCAAAAGCCAUCUGAUCCUGUACGAUUUCCAUAAUCUGAUUCCUCAACAUGACGUUGGGGUCAUAUGGAAUUCCUAUAGGUUGGUUAACCGGUUGAUUUGCAUGAGGCCUGAUGUUUGGUCCUUGAUUGGCAACAAAGUUACCAUGAUUUGGGUCAUUACCAUUAGCCUAAACAUCUAUUCCCUCAUUAACACGUGGGGUAUUCUGUCCAUUGUUUAGGACAUUAUCUCUUACAUUUGGAUUACCCCCCAAGUUAGGCAUACCACUACCAUUGUUCUGAUUUGGCACUGCACCACCCCCUUGGUUUGAAGUAGAGGGACCAGAAAGUGGUUCUAUCCCUUAAUUCGGAUUUAGGACUGAGGGAUUAUGUCCCACAAUUGUCCUAGUUUGAAAGUGGCUUGCAAGAGGCAGAACCGGUUGACAUAUUUGGCCUACUAACUUAUUCAUUAUUUCGUUCAAAGUGUUUAGUUGUUUGGCCAUGUUGUCAUAAUGUGCAUUCCCAUUUUAGGUAAAUCUUUCCAUAUUAUGAAUAUUUCGAAGAUUUACCUGUUCAACAACAUCUUGUGUGGAUUCUCCAAGUAGUGCACGCAUAGUUCGAGGACUCAACUCUGUCAUUGGUUCGUAACGACUGUUACUGCUCUGAUUCUAUCAAUCUGUUCGUGGAGAGGCAUGCUGCUCCUCAUAUCACUCGAUCAUAGACUGGACUCCUUCCUAACUUGCUGCUUCCUUAUCGGAUCUCUGAGGCAUAUUAUUUCACCUUUUGUAUUUUCAACACCAAACACCACUGUCCCACUGGGCGUGCCAAAUUGUUUCGCGCGGGUUCGUCGCUAACAAUUAAAAAGGGAUCAGAUAAUUGUAUAAGGGACAAACCUCUUGAGACAAAGUCCCAAAAAGGGGCAUUCUUUAUUGGCGAUGUCUUUACAAUCGGAAAGUAAAAAUAGAAUGCCUCCAAGGGGCGCAAGCACACGAGUUACUGAAAGAAGUGUUUAAAUUUAAACUAAAAAAUUUAAAGUUACAUAUUCUCUGUUCGAGAGUUUUUGAUUCGGUCUCUUUUGCUCUAUGUCUUUUCUUCCUUUUAUACUCCCUGGAUGAUCUCUUUGUGAUCAACAGCCUAAAAACUGCUUGAUCGUUCUAUAACCGCCCACUUUCCUCGUAAUGGCCAACUUGUCAUGGAACUGCCUUUUCUAACUGCUGCCAUUACUCUUUGUCGUUCAACCGUCUUCAAUUGAAUUCCUUGAAUCGUGGAACGGGAUAGGGCUGCUUAAUAACUGCUUUGAUAGCUUCUUGAUAACCAUAACACUUCAUGUUUGCUAAGACCUUGGGCGACUCGAAGGUUUGGGCGAGAAUAGAGUAGCAGCUCUGGGCGACUGCAUGGCUUCUAUUCGCUCAAAUCCUGGGGUACUUACCAGCUUGGGCGAUGGUGUUAUCGCGUUCAUGGGCCUCCCUAUUUAGGCCUUCAUCUUGAAUUGUCUGAUUGGACUUCGUUCUUUGGGCUAUCUGAUUUGGGGAUUCUCUAGUUGGGCUUCAUUCCUUGGGCCGUUCGAUUUGGGCUGAAUUUUUAUGUGUCAACAAUAUGCAUUGAUCCAUUUCUCUUUAUCUUGUGAUUCUUCCAUUUUAGGCGAUGUGACACAAACUACCGCGUACCAAGGUCUGUGUUGACAGUCAAUAAAUCAUAUAAAGAACUUGUGUUAAGAACUAACUCUUAUCCUUUAGCUUUACUAACAGGACACUGAAAAGUUUAUGCUAAAAUUAUACAAUUAAAAAUAAACAAUUAGAGUGUGUUUGAUUAGUAUGGAAAAUAUUAUCUAGAAAAGAAAAUGUUUUCCAUCUUUUGUGGAAAAUAAAAACCACCUCUACCCAAGGAAAAUAUUUUCCUUAAAAAAAAAAGGAAAAUUAGGCAUAUUUUCAAAAGUUGGAAAAUGUUUUCCAUGGAAAAAAAAAAAGCAAUCAAACACUCCAAGUAGGAAUUUGGGUGGAAGAUUGAUAUUUUACAUGGAAAAUAAAUGUAAUCAAACACACCCUUAAUGUCAAACACAGUAAAAUUUAUAAAAAUGAUCAAAAAGAACUUUUUUAUGUUGAUUACUCAAACAUGCAAUACUUGGGAAUAACAAUUGUGAAGCCUCCAUCAACAAAAAGGUUGUGUCCACUGACAUACUUAGACUCAUCACGUGCCAAGAAUAGAGCAGCUUCAGCCACAUCCUCUGGCUUAAGAACAACACCAUUGAGGACCGAAUAUACAUCAUGGCAACCCUCAUCAUCCAAUUUAUAGAAGCCAUUUCCUAGAGGUGUAGCAACUAGGUGUGGUGACACACAACUUACUCGAAUGUCAUACUUUCCAAGCUCCACUGCGAUGUUCCUUGUGAGUCCAACCAGCCCGUGUUUUGAACUUGUAUAUGCGUGUGAAGCAGCAUCUCCUAUUUUUGAACAAGUACUGGCAGUCGGGAUUAUGUUCCCACUGUGAUUUGGGUUCAUUACACGUGCAACAUAUUUAGUGUCCAAGAAUGCACCUAUGAGGUUUAAACUAAUAAUCUUGUUACAUGUACACUUCAUUUUACAUCUUAGCUUACAGAAAUUACAUUUGGCAUGAUCUCACAUCAUCUUUCACAUCUUACACAGUACUUAAUCUAAUCGUUAGAAGCCACAUAAGCAACAUGUCAAGAGAGGUGUAAGGUAAAAUGUAUAAAUAGCUUAAUCCUUACACUAAUAAUCUUUUUCGAAUUCUGAUUUUUCGAUUUCAAGAAUGUUUGGAUUUGCUAUUCCCGCUAUUCUAGCAUUAUUGUGCAUUAUAUCCAAUUUUCCAAAUUGGGCAACAGGUGUGUUAACUGCAGUUUCAACUUCGAAUUCUUUAGUUACAUCACAGUGGACAUAAGAGGCUGAUGAUUGUCCCAAUUUUUCCAUACCUUCUGUCCCAAGUCAUCUUUGAUGUCCGCAAUCAGAACUUUAGCUCCAUGUUUGGCGAAGAGUCUCGCAGUUGCCUCGUCAAUUCCAGUGGUAGCACUGGUGAUUAGUGCUACCUUGCCUUCCAGCCUAGGUUCAAACAUUUUGUUCAAUGUUUUGAAAAUCGAUCUGGAAAAGGUGAUGGAUCAAUGGUCAAAAGGUACCACUGGGGUCAAAUCGGGAUUGAAUCAGAUGCAAUAAAUAGAUACAAAAAUAAUAAAAUACUAUGAAAACAAUAAUUUUUUUUUUAAAAAAAAUUUCAUAUUAAUAAUUUUUUAAUUAGAUUCGUUAUUCUACAAUUUUUUAAUAUUUAUGUUAUGUCACUAUUCUAUAUUAGAAGUUUAUGAAAUUAUUGGAAAGAAGUGCAUCUACAAAAUGCACUAUCCCACAUUGGAAGUUUAUGUUGGAAAAAAUGGUUAUGAAAUGGGUCAACUUUGAGCCCGAAUUUCAGUGGGACCGACCUUUUAAUUAAUACGGGACCUAGCAUAUUUACGUUCUACUCCGCGAGAUGAUUAACGUGAUAUAUUUUUUAUCGAAAACCAUUUAAAAUUGAAUGAAAUAUUAAGUGUUAAAAUAACCCACAUAAACUAAGUAUUAUGAAAGAAUUUGAUUUUCCAAACACUUAUCCCACAUAGGAAAGUUAGGAAACUUUGGUGUGGUUUAUAAGGGGGAAGUCUGAAAUUGGGUUUAGGCCCCAAGGGGUACCAAUAGUUUUUGGAAGGGAGAAAACCUAUAUCCUAUUGGGUUCGGUCAUAAACCCACACGCGUGCGCCGUCGUCAGUCUGACCGGCCAGCACGAGCACGUGCUCGUGCCCGAGUCCGGUCCGGUUCGAGUGGACCUUUGCACUAUAUUAACUUUUUGGACAAAAUUUAUUUAAAAUCUUAGGUCAAAUUGUAAAUAAUCAAAUUCUUGGGUAUAUUAUGAAAUUUAAAUUUUGGCUUAUUAUUUCGGGUGUUUUAUUUUCUUUUAACAGUCGUCUGUUUAGUUUUACCGACCAAACAGUCGAUUCUUAACCGACUUAACAGAUGCAACUUUUAAGAACAGCAUGUUUGUUUGAAUUUUUGAGGUUUGUCUGAAAGGUGAUGACUGUUCGAAUGGCCACGAACAAGUCUAUAAAUAGCCUGCCUCUCUACCAGAAAAUUUACACCAUUUUCAUUGCAAACUUUCUGUGCUUUGAAUCUCAUUCCCCCCUCUCUCGUUCUGAUAUUGUCUCGAAGUAAAAUACACUUCGUUGAGUUCGUUGGAUCCUGUUGAUCAAUUCUUACAUUCAGGUGAUUUUGUCGGAUUGUUUUUGAAGGAGUAACUUCAAAUUCUUAGAAACAACAAUCUUAAAAUGAAUUUUGUUCUAUUAUUAUUUUGUUUCUGUUUCUACUCCUUCUUACCAUUGAUCUUAUGAUUGUGUUUCAAAAAUGACAACUUCUGGUACCACACUCCCGAAUACGACCGGGGAAAAAUCAGAAAAGUUUAAUGAGUCAGAUUUCAAGCGUUGGCAACAAAAAAUGCUUUUUUAUCUAACGACAUUAAAUCUGGCUAAAUUUCUCAAAGAAGACGCGCCUUCGUAUACCGAGCAAGACAGUGAUGCUGAAAAAUUGGCUGCGGUUGAUGCAUGGAAGCAUUCUGAUUUCUUGUGCAGAAAUUAUGUACUUAAUGGACUGGAUAACACAUUAUAUAAUGUGUACUGCAAUGCUAAGUCUGCAAAAGAACUGUGGGAAUCUUUGGACACAAAGUACAAAAUCGAAGAUGCCGGUACGAAGAAAUUCAUUAUCGAUCGUUUUUUGGAUUAUAAAAUGAUUGACAACAAGAUUGUCAUAUCCCAAGUUCAAGAACUUCAUAUCAUACUUAGCGACAUCCAUGCCGAAGGAAUGAAACUAAGUGAAUCAUUCCAAGUCGCUGCACUAAUUGAGAAAUUACCACCUUCAUGGAAGGAUUUCAAGAAUUACCUAAAGCACAAGCGGAAGGAAAUGAAACUUGAAGAUAUCAUUGUCCGAUUGAGAAUAGAAGAAGACAAUCACAAAAUUGAAAAAAGGAAUGGUGCAUCUCAUUCGAUGGAAUCAAAAGCAAACAUCGUAAAAGGAGGCUUCAAGACUAGCAAAAAGAGGAAGCACAGUGGGGAAGGACAAAUUGGUUCUUCAAAAACUGCUAAAAAGUUUAAAGGCAACUGUUACAAUUGUGGCAAGGCAAUACAUCGAUCCAAGGUUUGUCGAAAGCUAAAGAAUGGAAGGGAAAAACUAACCAGGCCAAUGUAACAGAACAUGAGAACCUCACUGAUAAGGUACAAGACAUGAAUCUUUCUGCAGUCGUCUCUGAAUGCAACUUAAUUAGAAACACUAGGGAGUGGUGGGUAGAUACGGGAGCUACUCGUCACAUAUGCUCAAACCGCGGGAUGUUCUCUACCUACAAAACAAUGGAUCAUGAUGAACAUCUCUACAUGGGAACUCGUCAUCUUCCAAGGUAGAAGGACAUGGGAAGAUAGUGCUGAAAAUGACAAGUGGAAAAGAGCUCACUCUGAAUGAUGUUCUUCAUCUGCCCGAUAUUAGGAAGAACUUGGUAUCUGGUUCUCUAUUAAGUAAGAACGGGUUUAAGCUAGUAUUUGUCUCAGACAAAUUUGUACUCUCUAAGAAUGAAAUGUUUGUAGGAAAGGGCUACCUGAAUGAGGGGCUCUUUAAAUUGAAUGUAAUGACUGUUGUACCUCCAAAUAUAAAUAAGAAUACAUCUUCUUCUUACUUGCUUGAGUCAUUUAACAUUUGGCAUGAACGACUAGGACAUACAAAUUAUAACACUUUGCGUAGACUAAUCAAAUUAGAUUUAUUAUCAAAGUGUGAUUUAAAUCCUAAUCACAAAUGCGAUAUAUGUGUAGAAGCCAAAAUGUCACGUCUGCCCUUUCGUUCUGUUGAAAGAAGUACCGAACCCCUAGAUUUAAUUCACACCGACAUAUGUGAUUUAAAAUUUGUUCAAACUAGGGGGCUAAUAAGUACUUCAUCACUUUUAUUGAUGAUUGUACUCGAUAUUCCUAUAUGUAUUUGCUCAAAAGCAAAGACGAAGUAAUUGAAGUGUUUAAACACUACAAGUUAGAAGUUGAAAAUCAACUUAGCAAAAAGAUUAAAGCCAUAAGAAGUGAUAGAGACUGUAAAUAUGAUUCACCAUUUGAGAAAUUCUGUUCGGAACACGAAGUUAUUCAUCAAACUACCGCGCCUUAUUCUCCUCAAUCUAAUGGUAUUGUUGAACGCAAGAAUCGAACAUUGAAGGAGAUGAUGAAUGCUAUGUUAAUAAGUUCUGGAUUACCGCAGAACUUGUGGGGGGAAGCAUUGCUCUCUGUCAACUAUAUUCUUAACAAACUACCACAUCAAAAAACACAAAAGAUACCUUAUGAAGUAUGAAAAUGUCACAAACGUAAUUAUAAAUACUUGAAGGUAUGGGGAUGUUUGGCUAAGGUAGUAGUUCCUAAACCUAAAAGGGUUAAGAUAGGACCUAAAACCAUUGAUUGUGUAUUCAUUGGUUAUGCCUUCCAUAGUAAUGCGUACAGAUUUAUGGUAUAUAAGUCUGAAAUACUUGAUAUGCAUGUUAAUACAAUUAUUGAAUCAAGGGAUGGUACAUUUUUCAAAAAUACUUUUCCUUAUAACAUGCAAGGUGAAUCAAAUUCACAAAAGAGAUCUCGUGAAAACGAAGAGAUUAUAGAUCAAGAAUCUAUAAAUGAACAACCUAGACGAAAUAAGAGGGCUAGGACGUCAACCUCCUUUGGGCCUGAUUUUCUAACAUAUUUGUUAGAAAAUGAACCUCAAAGUUUUAAAGAGGCUAUGUCAUCAACCGAAGCUUCAUAUUGGAAGGAAGCUGUUCAUAGUGAAAUUGAAUCCAUGCUACAAAAUCAUACUUGGGAAUUAGUAGACCUCCCUCCCGGUAAUAAGCCUUUAGGAUGUAAAUGGAUUUUUAAAAGGAAAAUGAAAGUAGAUGGAUCAAUUGACAAAUAUAAAGCAAGACUUGUCGCUAAAGGCUACAAGCAAAAAGAAGAUUUUGAUUAUUUCGAUACUUAUUCUCCUGUGACAAGAAUCACUUCCAUACGUAUGCUUAUUGCAAUAGCAGCAUUGAAUGGUUUGGAUAUACAUCAAAUGAAUGUUAAAACGACAUUUUUGAAUGGGAAAUUAGAUGAAAAAAUUUAUAUGGAGCAACCUGAAAGAUUUGUGGCCUCAGGAUAAGAAAAGAAAGUGUGUCGACUUGUUAAAUCACUAUAUGGAUUAAAGCAAGCUCCUAAGAAAUGACAUGAAAAAUUUGACAUGGUUAUGAUGUCAAAUGGUUUCAAAAUUAACGAGUGUGACAAAUGUGUUUAUGUCAGGAACACUCCAAAUGGAUAUGUCAUGGUAUGUUUAUAUGUCAAUGACAUGUUGAUUAUGGGUAACAAUGAUACCAUAAUUCAAACUACAAAAAGGAUGCUAACAAGUAAAUUUGAAAUGAAGGAUUUAGGUGUGGCCGAUGUUAUAUUAGGAAUUAAAAUUUCUAGAACAUCUGAUGGUCUCAUAUUGUCUCAAUCACACUACAUUGAGAAGAUUCUAGAUAAAUUCAAGAAAUAUAAUAUUAUUCCUAUGAAAACACCUAUGGAUGUUAGUAUGCAUCUUGUUUCCAAUACUGGUGAUAGUAAGUCUCAAUUGGAAUACUCUCGUAUUAUUGGCAGUUUAAUGUAUGUCAUGAAUUGCACUCGGCCUGAUAUUGCCUAUUCAAUUAGUAGGCUAAGUCGAUAUACAAGUAAUCCAAGCACUGAUCAUUAGAAGGCUAUUGUUAGAGUUUUAGGGUAUUUAAAACAUACCCAAAAUUUUGGAUUGUACUAUUCGAGAUAUCCAGCAGUACUUGAAGGAUACUGUGAUGCAAACUAGAUAUCAGAUACUAAAGACUCCAAAUCAACAAGUAGAUAUGUCUUUACACUUGGAGGUGCUGCAAUAUCAUGGAAAUCUUCAAAACAGACAUGUAUAGCUAGAUCAACAAUGGAAUCUGAAUUCAUUGCAUUAGACAAAGCCGGAGAAGAAGCCGAAUGGCUACGAAACUUUCUAGAAGAUAUUCCAUGUUGGACAAAACCUGUGCCUGCUAUAUGUAUCCAUUGCGAUAGUCAAUCAGCAAUUGGUAGGGCACAAAAUGCAAUGUACAAUGGGAAAUCUCGACAUAUACGUCGUAGACACAAUACUGUUAGACAAUUGCUCUCUACAGGCAUUAUCUAUAUAGAAUAUGUGAAAUCAAAAGAGAAUAUUGCGGAUCCGCUAACUAAAAGUUUAACAAGAGAAUAAGUUGAAAGUUCAUCGAAGGGGAUGGGAUUAAAACUAAUAAAAUAAUCAAAAAUUUUCAUGGUGGCAACCCAACCUAGUUGACUGGAGAUCCCAAGAUCUAGGUUCAAUGGGACAACCGAACUGUGAAAAACUUAGUAUGCACUGGGAAGAUUUUACUUCUACCCAUUCCUAUGAUGAGCCAGUGCCCAGCUGCCACGAAAUAGGUUAAGAUACGCUUUUAAUGAUUUCUAUAUCUUGAUUCGUUCAAGUGGAGUAUAGCAGAAUACUCUUUAUGGAAAUUACCUAUGUGAGUGAGAAGGGACCGCUUCUAAGAGAAUUAGGUAAAGAUGAAUUCUCUAAAAACCACUCAUGAACCAAGAGGUGUCCAAGGCCAAAAUGGACACAAACGUGAGAACCAACUUGUUCAAAGAAAACUGUGUGACUUCUAUUGUUUAGGUUUCCAUAAACGGCUGACUGUUCAAAGCAACUUGCUACUGAUUGGCUAAGGAAAUCCGAUAGAUUUUACUAGGGAAAGUUCAAAGUCAUUGACUACUUAUCCCGAUGCAGUCUUCUUCAAUUUUUUCUUCGAAAAACAUAUCAGAUGUUAUCGUUUGGAAUAAGGCCAACAUAUUUCAUUCAUGUGGAGGAUUGUUAGAAAAAAUGGUUAUGAAAUGGGUCAACUUUGAGCCCGAAUUUCAGUAGGACCCACCUUUUAAUUAAUACGGGACCUAGCAUAUUCACGUUCUACUUCCUGAGAUGAUUAACAUGAUAUAUUUAUUUAUCGAAAACCAUUUAAAAUUGAAUGAAAUAUUAAGUGUUAAAGUAACCCACAUAAACUAAGUAUUAUGGAAGAAUUUGAUUUUCCAAACACUUAUCCCACAUAGGAAAGUUAGGAAAUUUUGGUGUGAUUUAUAAGGUGGUAGUUUGGAAUUGGGUUUGGGCCCCAAGGGGUACCAAUAGUCUUUGGAAGGGGGAAGACCUAUAUCCUAUUGGGUUCGGUCAUAAACCCACACGCGCGCGCCGCCACCACCGUCCGUCCGAUCGACCGGCCGGCUCGGCACGGUAAGAGCACGUGCCCGUGUCCGAGUCCGGUCCGGUUCGGUGCGGGUGGACUUUUGCACUAUAUUAACUUUUUGGACAAAAUUUAUUUAAAAUUUUGGGUCAAAUUGUAAAUAAUCAAAUUCUUAGGUACAUUAUGAAAUUUAAAUUUUGGCUUAUUAUUCCGGGUGUUUUAUUUUUUUUAACAGUCGUCUGUUUACCGAACAAACAGUCGACUGUUAACCGACUUAACAGACGCGACUUUUAAGAACAGCAUGUCUGUUCGAAUUUUUUAGGCUUGUCUGAAAGGUGAUGACCGUUCGAAUGGCCACGAACAAGUCUAUAAAUAGCCUGCCUCUCUACCAGAAAAUUUACACCAUUUUCAUUGCAAACUUUCUGUGUUUUGAAUCUCAUUCCCCUCUCUCUCGUUCUGAUAUUGUCUCGAAAUAAAAUACACUUCGUUGAGUUCGUUGGAACUCCUACAGAUUUCAGUGCUGCUUCCGUAGGAGAUGAAAAUUCAUUCUAUCCUGGGAAACGAUUGCUGGACGCCUUUAGCACCAUUGAAGGCAGCAAAUUUGUUUUAAGGAAAUAUCGUGAAGUCGGUGGGCUCGAAGUACAAUUUUGGAUCCUGUUGAUCAAUUCUUACAUUCAGGUGAUUCUGUCGGAUUGUUUUUGAAGGAGUAACUUCAAAUUCUUAGAAACAACAGUUUAUGAAAUCAUUUGAGAGAAGUUCAUCUAUAAAUGGAACGUGUUAUCCAAUAUUUCUUUAUGGGCAUUUGAAUUGUUGUUUAUGAGGCUCAUUCAUGAAGUUGAAUUUUUUUAAACUAAAAAAUUAAAAUAAAUAAAAAUAAAAAAUUGGAAAACCACAAAAUCGUGACUGGUGGGUCGGUUUAAGGUUAAAUCGGCCAAUUCGGGUUUAGUCACAAGCGGUUAACUAGGCAUGAUUGGCUCGAUUUUUGGCCAAGUUCUUAGUUUUAUUGGUUGAACCAGAUGGGUUAGACCAGUUUUGAUAACAUUGAUUUUGUUAGUAAUAGUAUACUGGGUAGGACUGAAAACUUCCUUGAUAAUUAUUCAGUCAUGUCCAACCCAACUAUUAAAAUUAAUUGUACUCAAAUAAAAAUGUUCAAUUCAUUAGAAAAGUAAAUGCCUCGAGUUUUUACUAGCUUUUUAUCAGAAUGCAGUACAAACAAUUAAAGAGUUAUCCCUUCUAACAAAAGUCGAAGCCAUUGAAGAACUUCCCACAGUUCAAGUAUACGUGAACUUUUUGCAAUGAGUUGGUGCUUCGCACUGCACUUUGAAACAUCUUUUAUAGUGCGAGUGUUAUUUUUAACCUUCAAGUUUGAGGAUCGAUUUGUAAACGUAAAUGAAUAUUGCAGAGAAUUAAAAAAAUAAAAGAACACCAGAGAUUUUUCGCCCUUGGAAAGGCUUGGAUGUUUAGUCGUGAGACCUAAUCACCCGUUGAGCAUCCAUUAAGGGAUUUAGCUCAAUAUCCACUAAUAUCAACCAAGAAUCAGUACAAAAUGUACGAAGAAAUUUCAGAUUUCUUUGUGUUUCUCUCGCCUCUUCUCAAACAGAAAACCCUCACAAAAUCAAUAUCUAUUGAUUGUACUAAACAAUCAGAUGUUACCACUAAAAACAACCAUUUCAAUCACAAAGAUCGAUUACAAUUUUACAGAGAUCAAAAACCCUAAUUUUCACUCAGAAAACGGAAAGAGAUGAAGAGACUGAAAGAAGGAUUCAGAAUGUUAAUAGUGCCAAGGUCAAGUAUAUAUCUGAUCAUUCCAAUAAUCACAAUCGAAUGGCUGGAAUGAAGCCACGUGGACAGCAGAUUCACAUCCCUUAAAAGAGGCUAAAAUUGUGAUUCCAAAAAUGUUUUUAUUAGAAAGGUCAGCAACCCGGUUGUAAGUAAAUCGGCCCCAAUAGAGAUGCGGCCCAACAAUCCAAGAUUUAGCGAGGCAGCCCAAAAUUCUUUACAAUCUCCACCUUGCUGAGUUGAAUCUUGGUCUUUACUAAUGGAUAUUGUUACUAAAUCAGUUAACUUCAUUUUCUCUAAGUUCCUGUAAAAACAAAAAUUUAAAUCAGUUCAACCUUAUCAUAAACAACACUUGAAGUUCUAAAUUUAUUGUUGUUUCUAGAGUUUGAAGUUACUUCUUCGAAAAAUAUCCGACAAAAUCAUGUGGGUUCCACUGAAAUUUGGGCUCAAAGUUGACCCAUUUCAUAACCAUUUUUCCAACAUUUAUCAUCCCUUUAUGUGAUAUUUAGAAUCUUCAAGCAAAAUUUAAAUUUAUCUAGAGGCAGUACCUUAGUUCCCAAAUCAAAGGGAUUGAACUCUGAGGAAUUUUAACCAACAUGAUCAAACCUUUUUCAACCAUAUUUCGCACAAAGUGAAAUUUUAUGUCUACAUGUUUGGUUCUAUCAUGAUAUACAGGGUUCCUACUAAGAUGUAUUGCACUUUGAUUAUCUGUGUAAAUGUUAACAGAAUUAUUUGCAAAACCAAUUUCAUUCAGUAAAUCUGUUAACCAGAUGCUUUCUUUAACAGCAUUACAAGCUGCAAUGUAUUCAACUUCUGUAGAUGAUAAGGCAAUUAAUUUUUAUUGCUGUGACUUCCUACUUAUACAUCCAUUACAAAAAGUAAAAAUAUAGGAAGAUGUGGAUCUUCUUCAUUGCUUCUUCUAUACAUUAGACCUAAUUCAAAUGACCCUUUUAAGUAUCUUAACAUCCAUUUUAUUGCAAGCCAGUGAGUUUCACCUAGGUUGGCCAUGAACCUACUUAAAACACUAAUUCUGUGUGCUAGGUCAGGUCUUGUACAGACCAUGAGGUACAUGAUAGAGCCUACAAUGUUAGCAUAAGGUACUUUCUCCAUUCUCUUUAAUUCAUCAUCUGUUUUAGGUGAUUGUUCACUGGACAGUUUAAAGUGAUUAGCAAUAGGAAGAGUAACAGGCUUACAAUCGAUCAUAGAAAAUUUUUCAAGAAUUUUCUUCACAUAAGAUCCUUGUUUUAGCAUUAAUAUGUAAUUAUCUCUAUCUCUAUCUAUUUCCAUUCCAAGAAUCCUUUUAGUUUGUCCUAAAUCCUUCAUUUCAAAUUCUGAUUUUAACUUUGAUUUAAUGAAAUCAAUUUCACUUCUAUCAUGACAAGCAAGCAACAUAUCAUCAACAUAUAGUAACAAAUAAACGGAUUCAGCUCCACCUGAACCUUUAUAGAAGAGACAAGAGUCAUAACAACUUUUUACAAAAUCUAAAGUCUGCACAAACGAAUUGAAUUUCAAAUACUAUUGCCUAGGAGCUUGUUUAAGCCUACAAAGAGAUUUUUUCAGCAAGCAAACCUUAUCUGAUUUUGAUUUAAUUUCAAAUCCUUUGGGUUGAUUAGAAAUGCUGUUUUUACAUCAAGUUGAUAUAAUUCCCAGUUAAAAUGAGCAGAUAAAGCCAGUAAAAUUCUAAUUGUAGUGUACUUGGCCACUGGAGAGAAUAUUUCAUUGUAAUACACUCCUUUUUUUUAGUGAAACCUUUGGCCACUAAUCUGGCUUUAUAUCUCUUAUUUUCUGAAUUUGAAUCUCCUUCUUUAAUUUUAAAAAUCCACUUACAGUCUACAAUCUUUUGAUUCUUAGGUCUAUUGACCAAAAUCCAGGUUUAUUCUUAAUAAGGGAAUCCAUUUCCUCAUCCAUAACUUCCUUCCAAAGCUUAAAAUCAGGAGAAUUAAUGAUUUCAUAAAAAGAUGUAGGUUCAAAAUUUAAAGAGUCAAGUGUAGAAAACAGAGUGACAAACUCUUUAUUAUUGAAUUUGGUGGAGGGAAUUAUGGUUCUUCUUUCCCUGUAUCUAGCUAGCUGAUAAUCAACAAGAGUAUUAAUUGAAAAUUCAGAUUCAUUUUCAAAAUCAUCUUCUUCAUUAUUUAUUUCAGAUUGAGAGUGCUCCACCUCAAAAGAAUCAUCUUGAUUUACAGCAUUUUUAGGUCAAACUUCCAGGAUGGUCUUAUUCUCUGGUGCAGAUUCAGAAGUUUUAGAAUCUUUAGAUUUCAUAUAAGGCAUGUCAUUCUCAUUAAAGAUGACAUCUCUACUUAUUAUUACUUUAAAAUCUUUUUGGUCUUUAACCAAGAGUCUAUAGCCUUUGGUUUCCUCUCCAUAACCCAAGAAAACACAUUUUUGGGAUCUAGGCUCAAGUUUGCCUUCACUUUGAUGGGAAUAAGCAGCACGGCCAAAAACUUUGAGUUUGCUAUAUUCAAGUAUUUUUCCACACCAUAACAUUUCAAGGACCUAAAAAUCAAUAGCACUAGAUGAACUUCUAUUAAUUAAAUAGGUGGCUGUGUUUAGAGCUUCACCUUAAAAAACUUUUGGAAGUCCAGAACUAUACAACAUACACCUGACCUUUUUCAAUGGGAUUCUGUUCAUUCUCUCAGCAACUCCAUUAUGCUGAGGAGUGUAUGUUAUAGUUCUAUGUCUUAGAAUUCCAACCUCUUUACAAAAUGAGUGAAAUUCAAAAUUGCAGAAUUCAAGACCAUUGUCAGUUCUUAGUGCUUUGAUUUUCUUGUUUGUUUGAUUUUCAAUCAUAGAUUUCCAUUGCUUAAACAUUUGAAAAGUUUCAGACUUUUGUUUUAAAAGAAAUGUCCAUAUUUUUCUUGAAAAAUCAUCUAUUAUAAGAAGAUAGAACCUGAAUCCACUUAGGCUGUUUACUGAUGCUGGACCCCAAAUGUCAACAUAUAAGUAGUCUAGUAUAGAAGUUGAUUUAUAGGUUCUAGUUUUAAAAGGUAGCCUUUUUUGUUUUCCAAUCAAACAGUUUUCACAAAAGUCCAAUUUUUCAAUAUUAUCCUUUCCAAAACAUCUAAUUUUAUUUAAAAUGAUUAAUCCCUGUUCUGAAAUGUGUCCCAUUCUUUUUUGCCAAAGUAAAGAUUUGUCAAACUCAUAGUUCGAGGCAGUGGUACACUGACUUAAAACAGGCUCAGCAUGGAUAGUGUAAAUUCCAUUUAUUUUUGGAGAGGAGAUGACUCUCUUUUCCCCUAAAAUUAAGCUUAUAUGACCCUUGUGAAUAUAGAUAUUGUAUUUCUCAUCUAACUCUCCUAAAGAAAUAAGAUUUCUUUUGAAUUCAGGAACAUAUCUUUUAUUUUCUAAUUUAAGAGUAUAGUUGUUAUCUAACAACAACCUAACUUUAUCAAUACCUUCUAUUUAACAACUCAUGUCAUCCUCCAUCUGAAUUUGCCCUCCAUUAAGGUCAACAAACUCAGAAAAUCAUUCCUUUAAAAGACACAUGUGAAAGGUACAUCCAGAGUCAAUGACCCACUCUCUUGAAUUUCUUUUGGUGGUAUUAACAAGAACCACCCCCUGGAUAUCAGGUUCAUUUUUGCAGGCAACAGCUGUAGAACCAUCAAAGUUAUUUCUAUCUUUCAUGUCUGAGAUUUUCUUAAAACAAUCUUUUACUAUUUUGCCACAAUAGUAGCAUUUUAUGGUUUGGUUCUUUGGUUUCACAUGAUUCUUGUUCUUAUCUUUGAGCUUAUAGGUAGGGAAUCUUCCUUUCUUAUGAGGAUUGGGAUAGUAUUGGUUAUGUUUCUUAUUGUGAUUUAGCUUUUCUUUUAUAUGAAGCCCUUCACCAAACUUAGAGUCUUUUGACUCAACUUUCAAUUCAAGCUCCUUAUUUCUUAAGGCUGAUGUUACUAUAUCCAUAGUGAGUUCUUACCCCCAAUAUUCUAAGGCAUUUCUAAUGUCUCUAUAUUUUUCACUUAGAGAGUUUAAUAGAGCAACAACUUGUUGGUCAUUAGAAAUUUCCUCAUCACAAUUACCUAAGUCCUGAAUCAUUUUGGUGAAUUUGUCAAGAUUUUCUUCUAUGCCAGAUGAGGGAUCAAAUCUGAAAUUGUAAAAUUGCCUUAAGAGAUAACAUUUAUUUGGCAUGGAUUUAGUCAAGUAGAGUGAUUCUAAUUUUGUCCCCAAGGCCUCAGCAGAAGUGGUUUCUCCCACUUUCCUAAUCAAACUAUGAGACAGGUGAAGAAAAAUAGUACUCCAUGCAGUAUCAUCUAAUUCUCUCCUUCUAUAAGUACUAAUUUCAGUAGUCCAUGACCCAUCAAUGGCUGUAGCACAUCUUUGCUGCAGUAGCAGUACUCUCAUUUUCUGGUGCCAGAGAUUAAAAUCUCCAGUACCAUUCCAUGUCUCUAUUUCUAGCUUAUAUGCACUUGACAUGGUGACAGGUAAGUAUGCAAACAUGCAAUUAUACAGUGCACAAUAUAUAUAUGAUUCAGACAGAUAAUGUAAGUAACAAACAGGCAAAUUUUUGGACAGAAUAGGAGAAUGCAAUUACUCCUAUCUAAUAAAUAAUUCAAGAAACCAAGUGUUAAUUAUGAAAAGGUCUAAGAAGUGGUGACCCUUUAAGUCCACUGCUCCCUCAGAUUCCCAGACCUUAAUUGAGAUCUUGGACAAAGGAAAGCAGAGGAGAAUCACUUACCUUAAUAACCAAUUUCAAGAUUAAUAAGAAACAGUAACAAAUUGAAGAAAAAGGUUCAGAAAUAUACCGGAAACUGAAAUUGUAAAAAUUUUAGUAUAUAGGAUGUGACCAGACUACCAGAAUGGGUGCAAACUUUCAAUGCAGGAGCAAGAAACAAGUGAGUUACUAAAACUUGGUGGGAACUCAGCUAGAAUCGGAAUGAGUCAACUCGACUCACCAAACUCAGUACGAAUCAGACCACUCAGGUAGAUUCAAUUGUGAGUCAACUCAUAAAUUGUCCAGAAACUCAAUAGCGAAGAACGAAUCUUCAGUAAAAUUGAUGAACAAAGAAGAAAAUAUUCAAAACUAGUAUAGAUCCAACCAACAAUUGAAUCGAAAGUUCAACGCAAAGUAUCCAAAAUUCUAAACAUCAAAUUUUUGCAUUUUAAACCAAGAAACUGUAGAUCUGAAAAAGUUUUCGAGAGGACAUUAAAAAAAACCUAGGGUUUCAAAAAAAAAAAAAAUUUUCCAGAAAUCAAAAAACGGUUUCAUAAACAUGUGCUCUGAUACCACUAUUAUUUUUAACCUUCAAGUUUGAGGAUCAAUUUGUAAACGUAAAUGAAUAUUGCAGAGAAUUAAAAAAUAAAAGAACUCCAGAGAUUUUUCGCCCUUGGAAGGGCCCCGAUGUUCAAUCGUGAGACAUAGUCACCCGUUGAGCAUCCACUAAGGGAUUUAGCUCAAGAUCCACUAAUAUCAACCAAGAAUCAAUACAAAAUGCACGAAGAAAUUUAUUUCUUCGUGUUUCUCUCGCCUCUUCUCAAAGAGAAAACCCUCACAAAAUCAAUAUUUAUUGAUUGUACUAAACAAUCAGAUGUUACCACUAAAAACAACCAUUUCAAUCACAAAGAUCGAUUACAAUUUUACAGACAUCAAAAACCCUAAUUUUCACUCAAAAAACGAAGAGAGACGAAGAGACUGAAAGAAGGAUCCAGAAUGUGAAUAGUGCCAAGGUCAAGUAUAUAUCUAAUCAUUCCAAUAAUCACAAUCGAAGGACUGGAAUGAACCCACGUGGACGGCAGAUUCACAUCCCUUAAAAGAGACAAAAAUCGUGUUUUCAAAAUCGUUUUUAUUAGAAAGGUCAAUAACCCAGUUAUAUGUAAAUCGGCCCCAACAAAGAUGCAGCUCAACAACCCAAAAUUUAGCGAGGCAGCCCAAAAUUCUUAACAGCGAGACUGCGAGGCCUGGGAAUCAUGAAGUCCUAAACAGUGAUAUAUUGCUAUGUACUGUGGAAAUGUGAAAAACUCUAGUUCUUUAGUGAAUAAAGAUACAUUAAUAAUAUAUUAACAACAUAAACGUGAACCUAAUUUUAUUGAUGUCUACAACAAACCUAUUUUGCCGACCCAGGAUAAAUUAUGGAAAACAAAAGCAAUGAUAUAUCUGCCGAAAGUUGGCAUUAAUUAUUUCUACAGUUUUUCUGAGAGCGAUAUCCACCCAAUUACCUGAUUUUAUAGAGAGCGUCAAUCUUUCCAUGUUAUUUGUAAUGAUCUUAUCUUAUCACUAGGUUGUCUUGAAAUUUGAUUUGAUGUAAUGUUGUCAUCGCUAGAAAAAUUGCCACACUUACGUCCACAGAAUAAUUAUGGUACGCACUUGUUCCACACAUUGAAAUACAAUAUAAAGAAAAGGAAUAAAUAUGCUGUCAUCGCUAGAAAAAUUGCCACACUUACGCCCACAGAAUAAUUAUGGUACGCACUUGUUCCACACAUUGAAAUGCAAUAUAAAGAAAAGGAACAAAUAUGUGAGGAAAAAACCAUAAAAAAUAAAAAAUAAAAAUUGAAAGUUUGUCAUCCAGGAAGAGUGGGAAAAAAAUUAAAUCAAGAAAUAAAAAAAUAUACAUAUGGGACAAAGACCGUUGGACAAUUAACAAGAAUUAUGUAUGCGUUGAAUGAUGCCUUAUGAAUAGCUGCUUCAAAUUGUCAAUGUUUGAAGNNNNNNNNNNNNNNNNNNNNNNNNNNNNNNNNNNNNNNNNNNNNNNNNNNNNNNNNNNNNNNNNNNNNNNNNNNNNNNNNNNNNNNNNNNNNNNNNNNNNNNNNNNNNNNNNNNNNNNNNNNNNNNNNNNNNNNNNNNNNNNNNNNNNNNNNNNNNNNNNNNNNNNNNNNNNNNNNNNNNNNNNNNNNNNNNNNNNNNNNNNNNNNNNNNNNNNNNNNNNNNNNNNNNNNNNNNNNNNNNNNNNNNNNNNNNNNNNNNNNNNNNNNNNNNNNNNNNNNNNNNNNNNNNNNNNNNNNNNNNNNNNNNNNNNNNNNNNNNNNNNNNNNNNNNNNNNNNNNNNNNNNNNNNNNNNNNNNNNNNNNNNNNNNNNNNNNNNNNNNNNNNNNNNNNNNNNNNNNNNNNNNNNNNNNNNNNNNNNNNNNNNNNNNNNNNNNNNNNNNNNNNNNNNNNNNNNNNNNNNNNNNNNNNNNNNNNNNNNNNNNNGGUAAAGGGAAAAAAAACACUUCUCAAACAUUAUAUAUAUAUAUAUAUAUAUAUAUAAAAUAUUCACUCACAUCAGUUAUGUGCUUACAAUUAACUAUGAAUUCAAAUGUCCACACACUAGGACUGAGAAUUCAAUAAUUUAAUUAAUAUAUUCUUUAUUUCAAAUCAAUCAAUGGUCGGAAUGGUUGAGACUUGAGUGUGAGAGUUGAAAAGAUUAAUUGAAUAUAUGAAGAAGCCUGCUAGUACAGCCCCCUUACAAUGAGGAGGCUCAAAAAAUUUUAUUUCACGUGGGCUCUCUCAAUCAACAUGCGAGGGGGAUGUACCAUGGUGUACAAAUGGUUUAACCCAUAUAUUAAUUAUAUAAAAUAAUGAUUGAUUUUCCUUAGCUAAUUUACAUCAUUCAUUACAAGUUAUGAAAUGAGUAUAACAUAGAUAUAUUUUUAUCAACUUCUAAAAUACGUAAAUAUUCUACUCAAAUAAGACUUACGAUACAUUCUAAAAGCCCACAGGGGCAUAACCCAAUGGUACAAAUGAUAGGAGUGAGGUAGUCUCAAUUUUGCUGGCAGUCGUAGUGUGAGAGUUCGAUUCAUGAGAUAUAGAAUUUGACUCUUUGUGGGCACCAAUGUACGGGCAAACUUUUGUUUCCUAGUCUGUUGGGAUACAUCUCGUGAUUUACUUCUCUCACGAUGCUCUAGAUGCGAGGCGGUGAGGCUCUCAAGGUUGAAGUUCAAUUUUUUUUUUUUUUUUUUUUACAAUACAUUCUAAAAGUACACGUAAAAUAAAUAAAUAAUUUAUACAAAUAAGUGAGUCACGUUUAUCACUUCAACCUUUAGACUUUAGCACGACGAUAAAGCUGGACAUGGAUUAUUUUAUUUUUUAAAUUACCAACAUUAAAUUUAGCACAUAUGAAAAUAAAAUUUAAAAUUUGGGAUGUUACAAUUAACAAGAAUUAUCUAUGUGUUGAACGAUACUACUUGUUAAUAGCAAGCGAAAUAUAUGACAAAAUAUAAAGUAACAAUCACAAAACAAAAUAAUAAAAGAAAAUUGGUAAAGGAAUGGAAAAUAUAUUAAUAAUGGAGAAAGAUUACAAAAAAUAUUGUGUUUACAAUAUUAUCUAACUUGUGUAAUAUGUCUGACCUAUAAAGAAAAGUCACCUAUAUAUAGGUGGCAUAUCAAAAUCCUAACAAUAUUCUUAAAGAUGGAACUAGUAAUACAUAGAAUAAAGAAAACAAUAUUUUCCAGAAAAGGGAAAAAUUCAUAAUUCGGGUGAAUUGUUUACACCAAUUCAAAACUCAGGUAUAUAAUUUGAAAUUUAAAAAUUCAGGAAUAUAUUUAAUUAAUUAAAAAUAUUUAUUAAAUAAAGAUAAUAAAAUCACAAUUACACGAUUAAUGGUCACAAAUUCGUAAUUAUAGGUCAUAUAUUUAUUUACUGGUCACAUAUCUCCCAAUUAAUUGGUCACAAAUUAUUUCGAUGUCACAAAUCAAAAAUUUCGUAGGUCACAGAUAAAAAAUUUACAGAUCAUAGAUUAUUUCGAUUUAUAAUUAAUUGGUCACGGAUUAUCAAAUUCUUAGGUCACACUUAAACAUUUGGUCACAAAUAACUAAAUGGUUAGUCACAUGCGUCAAAUAGUGGUCACGUACCACCAUCACUAACACUAUCGCACCACCAUUGCUAUCACGGCCACUUGCGACCAUCCUCACCACAUUACUGUCGCCGCCAUCAACACAACACCACCACCAACAAUAACAAUCGCCGCCACUAGAUCAAAUCAAAUGCCAACAAAAAUCAAGACAACCACAACCAUCGACAACCAUCUCCAUCGUCGGAAACCACCACCAAACACACCAACAAUACCUAGCCUACAACCUCACCAACACCCACCCGCAUUACCAAUGCUAACAUGAAUGCCUCCAUCGUUGGUCGCCGCUAGAAAUCACCACAACCACGACCACGACCACCACCACCAAACACACCAACUAUACAAACCCACAACCUCACCACCAUCUCCACAGCUAACACAACCAGCUCUUCUUUGUGACCACAACCACCCACCAUUGCACUUUGAUGCUGCACAAAUGCAAUGCCACUGUGUAGCGGCAUUGACAACGAAGCACUAUUGUGCACAACGGCGGUCGCAAUGAGCACCGCAUCGUUGCACCAAAAUCCGAACAUAGACCUCACAAGCACCGCCAUCUGAAGUUGCGACUGAAGCAGCCGCCGUCACAUUGUCAUCACCACUGCAGCGCGAGAUCUGAAGCGACGACUACAGCGCCGUCUUCUGCAGUGGUCGAUGUACGAGCAGCUUCAUCGCGGUGCACACCAGAACCUCCACCACCGGCGUCGCCCUCAAACCCAUUUCUUGCCCCUAUCGUCACUGUGUGUGUUUAGAGAGAGAGAUAGAUGGAGAAAUGUGUUUGAAAUUGGUGGAUAUAUUUAAUUAUUAAACCUUGAACAAUAAAACUUCACCCCUGAUUUUUGAAUUCUAAUAUUUAAACACUUGAAAUUUUGUAAUUUCCUCUUCCAGAAACCCAACCGAAUUUGGGUCAAAUUUUAACAAAACUUCAAAGGAAAAAGAGGAAAAAUAAGUUCAAGAAAUAGGGAUAAAAGAGAAGGGUUUUGCUUUUGGGGAUAUUAUAAUUUGAAUAACUCAAGAUUCAACUGUGAUUUGAAUAACUCAAGAUUCAACUGUGUUUUGUGACGACAAUAUACUUCAUUGGUAUUAUUUUAAAAUAAUAACAAGUUAAAUAGCUCUGAUAUCUUUGUUGGAGCGAAAUUCACACGCAUGAGAUUAAAAUUCUUGCCAUUUUAUAUCUUUUGAAUUUCAAAAUAUUAUAGUAUUUCAUUAACAAGUAACUUGUAAAAUGUCUCACUAACGUAAAUGCAUAUUUAUUUGCAAAGAGUUUUGCGUGUUGGUGAAUGAUUUAAUAAACUCGAUGCUAUUAAUAAUUGCAGAAGUUGCUGUUUAAUUGAACUGUAUUAUACCAAAGUAUUCAAGAAUAAUAUGUUACGACGUCACCUUGUUUAUUAGUCAAACUGUGAACGCGAUAUUCACAAAAAAUUGUUGGCUUCGGUAUCAGUUCAUCAUGAGAACUCCUGCCAACUUCUAGAAAUAAAUAAUCGACAUGGUAAAGUUUCAAAACUAAAUGGAAAUAAACGUAAGUAAAAAGUAACGUAGUGCAAGCAUUGGCGAACUAAGGUGGGGGCAUGAUGGUCAAGUGCCACAAAAUUUUUGACUUUUUUUUAAUGGAAAGAUAUAAUACAUUGGUCAAACUUUAAAAUUUUAAUCAAUUAAUAAAAACUGUCCAUUCUUUUUAUUUUUUAUUUUUUUUAUCUUUAAUAUCUCAACCAAUUAAACCCGAGAAUAAAUCAACAUGAAAACGUAGUACAGAAUAGAAGUUUAAUCUUUCUCUAGUUAUGAGUGCAUGGAUCUUCAAAGAAUUUGUCUCAAUCACGCACCUUAAAAAAUGAAGUCAAGUUUGGUGAGAUUAUUUAGCUUGAAUGAAUGUUCACCCUCAAGAACUAUAUGUUUAUAUUAAUAUGUCUCGAUUUUUUAAAUUUUUUUUUUUUUUUCAAAUACACGGCAGAAUAAAUUUAGACACCGCUUUUCCUCAAAUAUUUUGAGGUUUAUUAUUUUCUGUAAGGAUCGUGGUUAAAAAGAAAAUAUAUACUUUUUUCUAGAUUUGAAAGUUUGAUUGUGCUCUCAACUCAAAUGUCUAUUAUGUAUACCUUAUACGAAAUAACUAGAAUCAAACAUAAAAACUCAAACUUGUUGAUUCGUUCACGAAAUGUCAAGAAAGAGAGAAAGUAGAGAGAAAAUUGAGUUUUUUAUUAUAUCAAGAAAUUGAAAGCCACCAAGGCUUACAACCUUAAUUAAAGUAAGAUAACUAUAGUGACGCAAAUUUAGAUAAUGACGGAGAUCUAUAUAGUG